rnacentral:lncRNA from 1 species
GUCGGCCAGGUUUAGGAUCUGGAGUUUAUCCAAAUUGCCGAGCUCCGGGGGGAUCGGGCCGUCUAGCUGGUUCUGUUGGAGGACUAGGUUGUGGAGCUGAGUCAGCCGGCCGAGUCGACUCGGAAUGGGGCCGGAGAGGUUGCAGAGGGCCAGGGCGAGGGUGGUCAGGUUCCGAAGGUCGCCGAACGAGCCCGGAAUCGGCCCGGACAGGCCUGGGUUAUCGCCGAGCCGGACGACUCGGAGGCCGGAGAGCGAGCCGAGUGAAGGGGGCAUCGUGCCCGAGAGGCGGUUGGAAUAGAGGAAGAGUGUGGUCAGAGCGGAAAGCCUGGCGAGCUGGCUCGGGAUGGUACCUGUGAGGCGAUUGGAGGACAGGUCGAGGGUGGCAAGUCGGCUCAGCCGGCCGAGGGAAGGGGAGAGGGAGCCGGCCAGGGACGAGGAGGAGAGGUUGAGCGCCACCACCCCGGAGUCCAGGUCGCAGGUGACACCAGUCCAAGAGCAGUGGUCCGGGUUAUCCGAGCUCCAGUCGUCGAGCACCCGCCGCAGGUCCUCCGUGAACGAUUUCUUCACCUCCAGAAGAACUUCCAUGUCCACCGAGUCCAAGUGCCGGCCAAGAGCCAAAGGGGGCACGAAAGAGAUGACGACCACCAGGAGAACAACCAGCAUCAGCCUCUGGUACUUAUCCAUCUCUACACUUUAGUUACUGUCGUUAUCUGAAUAGAGCACUGAUAGCAGCAGUAGUGGUAAGAAGAAGAAGAAGAAGAGGAGGAAGAAGGGUAGAGGAGGAUGUUGGGUAGACUCAUGCAUGCAUGCAUGCAUGGGAUCAGGAAUGCCGAGUGCCUGACAGGGGUGUUUUGAGUUGUUCUUGUCCUGUGGAGUUCUGCGUUGGGCUGCGUGUAGUUUGGGGAAAUGGAGAGAUUAAAGAGGAGAGAGAGAUGGGUCUUGUGAGGCAACCUUAGCAAAUGGCCUUUNNNNNNNNNNNNNNNNNNNNUUUCAUCGGAGAGAGAGAGAGAGAGAGAGAGACCUGCGGCGAUGGCAAGGGAACACAGAAGCUGGGGUUUGGGAGGAGACGAGGGGGUGGUGUCAUCAAAUCGGAGGGUAAGGUUGAUGGAGCGUGUGGGGUUGGCUUCGUGGGUUGGGUUUGGAAAAGGUAGCAGUUGGGGCUCCAUCAAUAGGACAUGUUGACACCGCAUUCACUUGUUGUGUUAGUUUUGCGACCGAAUCUGCCUCCCAAGAGAUCCAACUCAUCCUAUGUGGCUGCCUCACGGACAUGCUCUGUGCGGGGCCCCCCAAGAGAGGAGAUAUCUGAGAGAAGGGAUAGGAAACGGACCGUCGUCGGUACACAACAUCCAUCAUCAUCUGGUUCUAAAGAAACACCUGCAUGUUGAGGUUACAUUUCCAAAUGAAGAGAUCAUAUUUCAACACAAGUACAUAGCUGUGCCGGUAGUCACAGCAGCUUAAUUCCUCCAUACCAACAUGCUCAUGAUUUCUACUCCAUACAACCUGCACCAGUUUCAUGCUUUCAAUCUCACCAAUUAUUAUUAUUAUUGGUUUACCGAGUUUGCUUUCCUGCCGCCCAACAGUUGACUCUCGUCAUAGAAAUGGAAUGACAUGUUAGAUUCCAGAACUCAUCCGUCCGAUUAAACCUCCUUCUUCCUCAUCCUCCUGCCUUUACCACACUGCCUCCUUUGCAUCAUCAUCCACCUUGCCUCCUGCAGCUAGAACUCUUAGGUCCUACGGACCAUGGGCAGGUCCUGAUGAUGUUGUGGUGAUGCAGCAGCAUCUCAGAAACUUGUCGCCUUUACUCGAUGUUUAUGCAGCUGUUGUUGAUUCUUUAACAACUCGGAAGAAUGGCAUUUAGGGUCACGGGGUUGAUCAAACCACCCAGUCAGUGCCCUAGUCAAUUCUUCUGCGUUGUUCCUGUUCCUUUGCGUGUCUGCUUCUCUCUCUCUCUCUCUCUCUGUCUUGCAAACUAAUAGGGCAUCGGAACAGAAUCACCAAACCCAGCUGUCUUUUAGUGCCCACUCUUUCUCUUUCUCCUCUAGUGGAGAAGCAGGAGAAAUGCAGCAACGACUCAAUUAGUGAUUGCUGCAAUAUAAUAUGGCCAUGAUCUCUAUUCAUGCGUGUGAUAGGACAUGGAGGAUUGGAUAAGGAGCUCUUAUGGUGGGGGAGUAGUCUUCUAAAUGCUACAUGACUUUGGUGGUCAUUAAGCCUCCUACUAUUUGGUAAACCACCCCUCUUUGGCUCCCCCCCUAAGUUUCUUUUGUGCUUGCUUGCUCAAUGAUUUGAGCCCCUUGAGUUGCUCUUCCCAGUCUUGCUCUAUCAUGUAGAGAAUUGUUGAGGAUAUGGCCUUUGGGCAAAAUGCCUUCCAUGAUAUGAUGAUAUGAACAAGAAAGAGAGAGAGAGAGAGAGAGGUCUUACCACCAGCUACCAUCGCUGGCAAAAUCUGAACAGUGACACUUGGACUAACACCUUUUGUGCAUGACACAUGACAUCCUAACUAGUUUCAUCCCUACUGAUUUGGAACUUAAGAAUACGGGCAUCGUGCGUCUACUACAGAUUGUUUAGUCAAUAAUUGCUUAGAUCGCUUGCAUUUAGUAAAAGCAAUGAACAGCUUAGACAAUCUUACAUGACCAAAGGACAACGAGAAGGAUGGCACUGAGGUCAACAUGCUACCUCACCAGAUUUGGCUCUUUCUCAUCUCAACGCGGUCAGUGAGACAUCACGUUGUAACGUCGUAAGGACGUAGAAUAUGCUUCUGCCUCCGGGAAGACAUUCUAUUGCAAUGUCUCAACGAUCUUAUCUGUGGUUUGUCUGAGGGGGUAGGAAAAGAAAAAACAAGCAGAAAUAUAGCCUUGAGGAAUUAAUAUGUAUGUAUGAUCGGGUAGAGCACCAAAGUUAAUUGUUUUCUCACUUCCAGUUGCACAUGGACCCAACAGUUUUAACUCGACUGCGUCUUCAAUGUCCGACGCAGCAGGACAAGAUUUAGUUCAGUGAUGGCGAGGAACAAGACGAGAAACUCGGCGAGUCACAUGUGAGCUCGGCACACAUUAUUAUUGGGCAGGAAGCAGGCUUUUGUGGCUUGAUGUCACCGCUGCCUUUGGCUCACGGUAUGAGCCAUGGCAAAGCAUGGCCGACCUCGAUUGCGAGUCACAUGAGGCCAUGAAAAGAGUCUGCACAAUCUUGACUUCAAAUGCUGGUGGUGGUUGGCUCCUUUGAGACGCGACAAAAACAAGUGUGGGUGGCUCGUUCCUUCUUCAUUCACUGAGUAGAUAAAUUGAAGGAGGUUCAGCUUUCUCGUCUCUUGUUUGGACACUUGGGCUCAGCAACUUGGUGCAUUUCUUGUCUCUUGUUUUCAUCCCUAGUGCACUUCUUGGUGCCUAGAAUAAAGCAUACAUAAUAUUACUACAACAAUAAUAAUAAUAAUAAUAAUUCACAUUUUCCUUAUACUUGCCAUUAUUCAUCCACACCAAAUACUUGCCAUGAUCACCAUAGCAGAAAAAUACGAUACACCAACGACCAUAAUGCUUACAUGAACCUUUCAAAUUUUACUUUGCUCAACCACAUUAUUUGGUUUACAUGUUUCUUAUUAGAGUUUUUAGCUGAUAAAACCCACAAAGCAAUUAAGCAAAUAAUGCAAGUAUAAUGUCCAUUAUAUAGCAAGCUAAAAGAACACAACAAAUCCUUGGCGUAAUGUGCAAGACCCAUAGAAUAACCUUCAAACCUUCCAGAGAGAGAGAGAGAGAGAGAGAAAGAGAGUAUCAAGUUUCAACAUAUUCUCGUUUCAAACUAUAAAUCAAUUUAACAAGAUCAGUAUAACAGUAUAUUCGAUAUGCAUAUGGUGGGUUACACUUCACUGCAAUGAGCCGCAAACAAAAAUAAAAAAAUGGGAAGAACUUAGAACAGAGCUAAUACAACAGUUGCUUCUCAUAUGUCCACCCCUCUCUUACCCCCUCCCCCCUCCCCCAAUCCCUAACCACCAACGAGAGCCAACAAGGAGCACAAUAGAAAAAUAAUGUGAUGGCUCUAUGCCUUAAUUUCCACGCGUAAUUAUGGAAGAAAUACCUCCAAUUUUCUUUUCCUAUCCCCAAAAAAGCGUAAAAAAAGAAUGGCUACAAACUAGCGGAGCAUGUACAUGUUGAGUACCUCAAUAUAACACUAGGAGAUAGUAAAGACGGUUCAACAAUUCCAUCAUUCUCCACAUCAGAGAAGCUUGCUGGCCCGACGCUUCGCUGGACCUCCAGGGAAGAGCUUCAUUAUCCAACCCAACACUCUCUCAACCACCUAAAAGAAAGAUGCUCUGUUAAGGGAACUUUGAUGGCCAAUUUAUCAACAAAAGAAACGAUUGUUUUAUCAAAGAUGACAACACACACACACAAAAGAAUUAAGUCGACUAGUUUGUACUAUGAAAUUGGAUAAGCAAUGGAGAACUUGAACAAUUAAAGGAAGCAAGCAGUACCUCAUCACCCUCAUCAGCAUAUUCCAUCGUUUCAUGUGUGCUAUGCAUAUCAAUUGGUUUUGCCAAGACAUUCUCGUUAGCCAUUCUUUGAGAGGUCAAGAGUUCUAACCUCUGUGUUUGAGCCUCAAGUUUCUGGGACAAAUCUUUGUUCAAAUCCUUCAGCAAUCAUGGCAAAAGGACAAAAAACACAUUAAUCAUUGGAAAGGAAGAAAAUGGUCAACUGUUGCAUAACAGACUCCACGUGAUGAAAUUCAUCAAUUACAUAAUGAUUGCUACCAAUCAAUAGUGCAAACAAAAUUAAGAAAAUUUGCAGAUACAAAACCCCAAAAACAUCCAGCAAUUUUUUGUAUUCCAUCAUCUGAACAAGCAUAUGCAUGUUGUCACUCGAAUAAAUCCAUGCAUUGUCCCCCUCCGAAAAUGCAUGAGCAAACCUUGUGAUUUGGGUUUGGGUUGGGUUGGAUGCUCUUUCCUAAACCCAUAAUUCAACAAAUAGUAUAUAUAAUAAUCAACACUACAAGAAGCAUCAUGAGCCUAAGCAUGAUACGAGGUCAAGUUCAUUUUAUAAUUCUUCAACUAUGGACAGUUACAAGACAGCCACUCAAUCCUUCAAGAAAGUAAUGAGAUUCUUGCCAGAUUUUGUUAUAUUUGGUUUGAAGUUCUACGUAUUAUAAUUUAUUAGGAGAGUCCAAUAGCAGUGUUUACAAAACUAUAUGCUGACUAAGACUUGUUGGUACUAAUUGCUUUGCAAUAUUCAUUGUCACACUUGAAAUGUGUCAUCAGACUAUUUCAGUUAAGCACCUUUCUGAAAAACUAACUGCAUUAGUCGUCACAAAUCACCAAAUCUUUUGUUUGUCAUAUGAAAUCAUCAUUACCUUGAGUUUGGAACAAUUUGAUGACUCAAUUCUCAAUGCUUGUACCAGCUCUUCCUUCUCCACUGCUAACUGAAAUUUAUAAACCUCUCCAUUUAGUAUAUCAAAUGAGAGAAGAGUUAAAAAAAAUUACAUAGAUUGGAUUCUGCCCAUGUGCAGUUAUUUUAUAAAAAGAAACAUGUAGGAAGCAUAGUUAUAAUAAAGUCCAACCUCAGAUAUCAAAGCCUUAAUGUUCUCGAUCAUUCUGAGCUGGUCUUGUGGCAGAUCAAUGUGUGCAUCUGGAAGAUCCAUUCUUCUAUCAUCAAGGAAAGAGGCUGAGACAGUAGACAGAGCUGCAGAUGGUCCGACAUCUUGCAUUGCAUUUAUGCCACUGUUCAUCAUUGUUCCUUGAGCAUUGUUCUCAUUAUCUUUGACAUCUGGAGGACCAAACUACAUAUGUUUAAAAAAAUCUUGAAGCAACUUGUAUGACUAAAAGAAGAAGAUAUUUCCUAAAGGUCCACAAUUAGGUCAAGUUUAACUACUAACAAAUUUAAAGGAUGAUUCUUCAGUCAUUUUGUCUACCCCAUUAAGAAAUUUUUCAAUCUUGAUUCAACACCUCUGACAAACCAAAAAAGGACUAUUUUCAUUGUCAUUUCUUCUACUUCACCAUGAAGAAAAUCUGCUUCCAGCAUCUAACACAUGCUAAGAAAAACCUCAAAACACAAGCAUAAGAUUUUGUGGAUUAAGCCUCUUUGAGGACAGCAUAAAAAAAAAUGUAGCACAUUUAUAGGUAGAGUAGUUCAAAUUGUGUACCCAGAAUAUGAAAGCCAGCAUCAUAUUCUAAGAAGUACAAACAUAAUCAUAAAUUACAGUAUUUAAUGCUUUGUUAUCCUACUCACUACAUUAGGAGUAUCAGUCAAAAAAGGGCAAUUUUCCUAGAAAAUACUCACAUUUUGAAAAUUUCCCAACCAGUAUCCCCAUUUUGACUUUUUUUUUUCCAAACAAUACCCCUAAUUCAAAAAAUAUCAAAACUAUCCCUCCUCCACGAACCCUCCUUGCCCGCCACCCGCCCUCUCCUCCUCUCCCACUGCCCGUCUUUCACCCUCCUCCUCUCCCCUUCUUCCCCACCACCCACCCUCUCCUCCUCCUCCUCCCAUCCUCAAAUUGGCAGCGGCAGUGGUGGCAGAAGCGGAGGCAACAGUGGAGGUGGAAGAGGGGCAGUUUGGAUAGUUUUUGAAUUAUGAGGUAUUAUUUGAAAAAAUCAAAAUGGGGGUACUGUUUGGGAAAUACCCAAAAUGUGGAUAUUUUCUAGGGAAAUCGUCCUUAAAAAAAAAAUCUCAACUGGUGGAUUUUACAUUGAUUAUUCAUUAUGCCAAGAAACCAUAAUGUAUUGCCAGCCAACCAUAUCUAUUUCAUGGAACAGUUUAUAUCAUAAGAAUCAACCUAACGAACAGCAUAAAGUUCAUACCUAAAUCAUCUGUGGAUGUAGAUGCAUCUUGUUUAAUAGAAGAAAUUUCCGUUGUAUGCUUAGUUUUUCCAUCUGUAGAUGCCUUUCGUAGCAUAGACUGCAACACUUUCUUCUCUGUUUAAUGCAAGCACAAUAAGAAAUAGAUUUCAUUUAUAACAUGUAAAUGAGCUUGAAUAAGAGAUUUCAUGACAACAGGCCAUGUAAAUAAACAAAACAUUAAAGAAAAUGUGCAUAUUUCUACACAAAGAAGAACAUAAAUAUGUAAAGACAAUAUUUGGAAGCCAACGUUGCAACAGAUUAGCACCAAAUGUUUCUAGCAACUUUCAACAAAAGGCCCAAGGUUUCAUAUCCAAAAAAUUUUAAUUUCUUUUUUAUACCAGUUUCAACAAUCGGUUGGAUCAGUACGGGUACGAGUACAACAGCACUAAAAUCAAGAUAUAGACCAUGAUGAGGGUAAUUUCAGUUGGCCAAAAACAAACCAGUUAUUUUGUUCUGAAUCUGUCUUCUGGCCAAAAGUGUGGCACUCAGCAAAAGCUCCGCUCAUGACAAAGAUUGUGUUAUAUAAGGCUUGAUAUUCUCCAUGGUAAAGGUCAUCUUAGAUUAUUAGUACAAGUUGGUGUUCAAGGGGAGUGUCCUGGAGAGCUGACAGAGAAAAUUGGUACAUGAAUCUCUCUCUCUCUCUCUCUCUCUCUCUCUCUCUCAUAUUUUCUCUGAAUACCAAUAUUUCUGCACCAACUCAUCUUCUGAAAUUUGGGGAAUCAGCAAACUAAAGUGUGAAUGUGCAUGCUAAAUCUGCAAGACGUAGUUAAGGAAAAAUAACAGAAGGAAUAAGGAACUUAGCCAUAAUGCAUAUUACAACAGAGAGGAGUGUUGAUGGGUCAGUUCAAGUUAAGAAAGAAAACUAAGGACCUAUAAAGCUGACACAAACCUAAGUAGAUUCACUAAUGGGUCAAGAUAUCUUGAUCAGGGCUGAUCCACACUGGGUGAGAUCAGGUUAUAUAGGAUUAGGUAGACCAGUUUAACGAGUUGAGAUAUUUUUCACUUCGUAUUUCCUGAAGUGCAUAAAAAAUGGAUAGGUCAGUUCAAGUUGAACAUUACUUUCAAGAUAGCAUAAACUUAACUCAAGCUGGACCCCACCCACCUAUGGGUAAAAAUUCUUAAAAGACACCCAACACGAUCCCAAGAGAGCAUCUUAGAUGACUUGGAUCCAGUUACAAUCAGGUUAAAAUAUCAUACCUUCUUGUAGAUUACUAGUAAAUCUAGGACUACAUAGAUGAAGAGAUAUCAUACCUUCUUGUAGGGCAUCAACAGUAGACUGAAAAUCUUGGCGCUCUUUCUCUAGAACAGAAACUUUACGCCUGUAUAGACGAAUGAAUACUCAUAAGCUACCUAGCGUACCAUGAUGGUAAUGAAGAAUGUCAUGAAACCAGGUACAUUCACUAUUUAAAGCAGAAAAAAUCUUGAAUCUUCAGCCCUCUUUCGUUACUUUUUUUCCAGGAAGAAAAGUAGCAUAUUCCCUCUUUCCUAGAUUCUUACAGAAUACACUAUGAAGAGUAUAUUAGGACUUCACAUCUUUUCUAGAAUUAUACAGAAACAAUUUUCAAUUUUUUUCUUAUAAAUUGAAAUAACAAUCAGUCUUUUGUUUAGAAAUAUGAUAAAUUAACUAAUUAAGCUUACUCAUAAAUCUCAUAUUUAGCUAAAAAGUAAUAAGUGAGCCAAAAAAAAGAAAGCCCUUAAUUUUCUUAUUGUCAAUUUUUAUGAUGUUAAAAAAGUACAAGUGCCAAGACAAAUAUAGUCAUAUUGUUUAAAUGCUUUAGCAAGACAAUAAGAAAAUUAGCAAUACCAAAUUGAAGGUUUAGAAAUUAGACACAAUCUUGCAGAAAUAUUUUAUCAGAAAUAGGAACAGAUUCAAGGAAACACAAAUCAGUGCCAUACAGCCUUGGUACUUUAAUGACAAAAAACAUAAUAAUAUGAACAACACAAGACUUCAUAUCGCCUUUCAUUAACCAUCACAUGAAAUGCUUCUUAAAGAAGAUGGACACUGCACAGUUAAAUGUUUGAACAUAUCACAUGCAUUGUUUAUAAAUUAGGCACUUUUAUAGACUCAUACUUAAUUAGAGGAGUACAAGAAACUUUAGCAUUGAAUAUGAUACAAUAAUUGCCUUUGUAUUCUGAUUUUUCACAUCUGUUCCAAGAUAACUGCUCACUCAUCUGACUCAUAUCAAAUCAACAUCUCAUAAAUCAGAAUUUGACUACGAGGUCGAUAAUCAGCAAAAAUGAAUAAAUAAAUAAAUCGAACAAAAGCUGAACUUACUUGAAUGAUGUAAUCUCAGAAUUCAAGUUCUCCAAUUGCUUUUCCAGCUUUAGCUCGUUUGACCUCAAUCUUAGUGCCUAUUUAAUGUUUAUGUUUAUACCAUAAAUAGAUUAGCGAACUAAGUUGAUGAUACCAAUGAAUGUAUAUAAGUGUUUGGAAAAAAACAACACUAGCAAUGAUUUUACUCAUCAAAUAAAGGCUAGAAAGAAAAGGAAAAUAGAUGACAUAGUAAGUUAUUCUGGAAUAUGUAAUACAGGGAAUGACCAGUCACAGCCUUCUUAACAAAAUUAACAAAAAAUAUCAUAGAACUCAAUCUUAUAUGAUUUUUUUCAUUUGUUUACUUAAUACGAUAAUACAUGUCAAUCAACAAUUGAAAAGGCAUGGUGCCACUCGUAAUGCCUGAUAAAUCCUUUAAACUAAUCUAUGUAACCAAAUUGAAUUUCUUUCACAAAAAUACAGAUCAGCUCCAUAUCUAGCACAUACUAGAAAUCCUAACAAAUGUAAGUCACUUGAACAUGAAUUUUCUAGAUUUAUUAAACCUAAUGAUAAAACUGGUCGAACCAUUUUAAAAACGUAAGAUUUUGACUUGGCACAACAUCUUAAUCCAAGAGAAACCAUAUCUUAAUCCAAAAGAAACUAUAUGAACGACAUUACACAAAAAAAGGAGACAAUGAAUGUUGUUUGGUGAGAAAAUUUGGAAGUGACAAAAUUUGAAGUGUCUGGUGUGCACAAUUUUAUACCCUUUGAAAAGCAAAAGUUCGACAUAGCUCAACAUUUUAACACUAAAAAAAUCGUAUGAACAUUAUUUCAUAAAGAAACGCGAUAGUUGUAAAUCUCAACCGAAAGUGGAAGUUCACACGAUUUUUGCUGAUUUUCAUCACACCAUUUCAAACACAAAAUUUCGAUUUGGCACAUUUUAAAACUAGAGAACUUGUAUGAAGGUCAUUCUAUGAAAAAGAAUGUUUGUUUCAUAUGAGACUAAAUUAGGGUAUCAUAGUCUCUCAUUUUAAGGUUUGAUGUGCUCACCAAAGCUUAAAGUCGAACUUGCAGCCAAAAAUCAAACCUAAUAAGCGGAAUACAAGUUCCAACCAAGUGAUAGUUCUAUGUCACGAUAUGCCCCUACUCUCAUCAGCAAUUAACCCUCUCAUACUUGUACCUCUUCACCAUGCCUGAUACUACAUGAUUGUAACACACACACUAACUUGGUAGGUCUAAAAUCACAUGAUUCAUACUGUUUAAGCUCAAUGUAGAACUAAAUUGAGCUUUCACAAUCUGCCUCACUCAAGACCUAACAUUCUCGUCAAGACCCAAGUUUGAAUACAUAAUAGAUGGCAUGUGAGGUCCAGCCCAACUGCUCCCUGAUGUGUCUCUAGCUUUUUGUAUGGCCAAUUUUUUCUAGUUCGAGUUCCUCACUAUUCAAUUACCAUAAACCAACUUGUUUUCAGUCUUGAGGACCAUGUUGUCCAUAUGCUUAAGCUCAUAUUAUAGAAGUAGGAUCAUCUAGCCUAUAUACAAUCACAUUCAUCUUUCCACUUCUACUUUGGGGAUUAAACAGGAGCAUCACAUAUUAUGCUAAAGAAAUAUGUCGGAAGCCUCAUUCCCACAAGUUGUCAUUAAUUAGUUGCUCACUGAGCACAUAUAUGAAACUAGAAAAUUUGUUGGAUGUGUUUGAAGCAUGCAACUUUUUCAUAAAAAAAGGUUUGAUUUAUAUCAACAAACACUUGAUCAAAAUCAUACAAUCAAAACAUAAAAUAUAAGACUAGUUUUUGACUUGAUUGUUGCACUUUACCCUUUAAAUCAUGAAAUUCGAUAUCUGAAAAUGCAUUUCCACUAUCUAGUCUAAUUUUAAGAUCGCCUUCUUGUCCAACACAAAUGAAACAAAAGGAAAGAAAAGAUAAGGGUAAAGAAAAGAAGUGAGGAUGGAAAAAGGUGAAGACAUCUUGUGGUACAUAGGACUUAAUGGGAAACGACAAUACAACUAAUAUUGAACAAAUAUCGUAAGGAGCAUAUAUUGCAAUGGUGCUACAAGCCCUAAAACGUAGGCUUCCUCGACACUUGAGUAAAGACACCAAAAGAUCUUUAUUCCAGGGAUUAUCAUAUUGAUGAUACCAAGAUGUACGAGAAAAUACAUACCAAUUCUACCCAAGUCUCAACACAAGGUCUCACAUCAUGAUAAAAAACAACACACUUAAAAAUGUGAUUAGCUUGUGCUUAUUUUCAUAGGGUCCAUGACAUACUGUGUUAAUUUCUAUUCCUAAAAGAUAUUGGUUUGCACAUGUUUCACUGAAUAACAAUAGGAAACUCACUUUAAGACUUUUUUCCCACCGAAAAUGAAGAUAUAAGAUAAAAAUAUUAUUAGUGGUAUGUCCUCCUUAUUGUUCUUGUCAAACAUGAAUUUACAACAUAAAAUAUGAAAAAAAAAAAAAUUUGUUUCCAGAUUAGUAUAUAUUGGAAACAAGAUUAGACAAGGUCAACCAAGCCAAAUCACAUAUCAAGUUUCAUAAAUAAGCCAAACAAAUAUAAGAAAAUUUUAAUGAAAGAAAAUGAUGAUUUUAUGAAGUUUAAUAAACACGUGUUGAGAAUAUGAUCAUUGAAAGGUACUUUGUCAAAAGAAACAAACCCAAGGGGAAAGCUCCCCUUUGGUGAACCAAUUUAGGGAUGAAGACACCAAACACGAGAGAGUGCCUGCAAGACCAUGGUUUGAUGUACCAAAGCAUACUGCUCUGUAUGGGCAAUACGUACCUGUCCAACAGAGGAUCAGUGUAGCUCGAUGCAUACCAUACUGAUAACUGGUCGAUACAUCGGUACAAACCGAUAAUGCGAACUAUGUGCAAGACCACAAGUGUCCUCAAAUAAUUGACACUGAUCGAGUUCAAUUGGGAUCUAGCUUAUUAGUAUUACAACUCUAGGUCCGCAAACUAUAAUAUUUUCAGGAAAUUGUUAUUGUAAUUAGCAAAUGUGCAAAUUCACGAUAGCUUAACUAUAUUGAUAUUGUGACUUCACACACGACACCAAUCUGAAACAAUGAACACUUCAAAAACCCUAAACAAUCUCACCACAACACUGAUAGUAGAGAUGAUAGAGAAAAUACUGCCAGUCAAAGUGCAUAUUGUCACCAAAAAGAUCACAAGGCAUAUUUUAUCCACAUGAAAAGAUUCAUUCCCACGAGGUCUUUCCUCAAGUUUCUUUGAGAAUAUGGAUAGAUAAAGCUAAUACUAACAGUCUAACACAUGACUUGUCAAAUAGUUACUAUGCCCCCUCAAUAUUUGGUGGUAAAUGGCAAAUGAACCAUUUGCAGCCACAUACAUAUAUGUGUGGCCACCUGUGCAACCUUUGUAUGCAUGAAAACGCAGCCAGAUAUAUCUGUGGAAGCACCAUGCAGUUUGCAUAAGCAUAACAUAUGGUCACGUAUUUGGUUUAUGUUUCCUCCUCAUUGCUACCAUUUCUACUGUCAUAUUAUCUUUAAAAGUAUAAAACAUCGCCAAUGAUAAUUUAACACUGAUAUUAUGACUUAUCACUUUAAUAAUGCUUUAGAGAACAUAAAAAUAUCACUAGGUGAGCUUUUGUUUGAUCAUUGCACUAUCUAUUUAUCUUUACAAUGUUUAACUGUUUGCUCUUCUUAAUUAUGAUUUUUAUUUUUUUAUGCCUCAUAUUGGAGCUGUCGCAUAUCAUGGCUCCCUUGCAGAACAUUGUUCCUCAAUUGCUCACAGUAACUAAUGUUCUGACAUUUGUGAAUAAGAAUCUGUUACAACGAAUGAAGAAAUGAAGAACAUAAAAAAAAAAAAAGCCUUAGUAUCAUGGUUAUUGCUCUUUUGCAGUCUUAAGUGAUUAGAAUUUCAGUCACAAAAGUAGCUUCUUUGCUUGUAAAGCAAGGCUACAUGCAGAAAACCUCCUCGACGCCGCAUUAGUGGAAGCUGUGUGCACCGUCAUCAUUUUUAUGAAAAUGACUUCUUUGCUUACCAGGAAAGUCUGCAAUGAGAUAAUUAAUUUAUUAACUUUGUUGAGCUGUAACUAUUGGUCUAAAAUGUUUAAACCUAAAUUAAUGGUAAUAAAUUCAUCAAUCCCUAACAAGUCAAUUUAAGCAUUUACCCACUUCUGAAAUGGGACUAAACUGGGGUGUUAUACACUAUACUUUGAACCUGCCCAACCUGCAUAUUUGCAGGAACUUUAUGCACUGGAUCACCCUUAAGACUAAGUAAAAAAGCACAAAAUUUCUUGUUCACAUUAAAAGAUGUUUAAAGUUCUUAUAUCUUUCAUUUUUCUUUAGGAACCUAAAACCAACAAAAAAAAAUCCACAUAUGUACAUGUUGACAAAUGGAUUAUGCAGUAUCAUACAUCAUAGGAUUAAAAAAAAAAUUUGACGUUAGAUAAACUAAGCAAUCAAUGUCUGACUGUCAGAUUAAUUCAAGGCAACAAAAAACCAAAUCUGAAUUCUAGAAUCACACGUUCAACCUGCUUUACAUGAAUAGAAAAAGGAAAUGUUGAAAACAAAUCAAGCUGUAGAAACAUCCUCUACAUUAAAAGAAGUAUCUCUUUGGAAAAGAUAUCAAGAUUCUAAACAAUGUUGUCUUGAUUAAGAAGUCAAGUUAAUAUAAUCAAUUCUUAGAUCAGCACUAAAGUAACAAACAAUCAGCUACCUUCUCUUCUAAGCUAAUAACUUCAGAUGCAAGUAGUUUGGCUCUUUCAUCAGCAGCAUUGCAUUCCAGCUGCGCAUUUGUAUACUCCAACUUAACAGACUCGAAAGCAAGCUGUUAACAUUCAAAGUCGAUAAUAAUGUGAACACAAUUUGCUAAUACCAUCCAAUAUAUACCACAGUUGUAACAAGUUAUAUCACAUGUAAUAGAAACCACGACUAGUAUAAGUGGUAGCCACAUGACCAGUUUGAAUUGGCAUACAUGUCAGUGCAGAAUCUAAAUUUUAAAAAUGUUAAAAAAUAUAUAGAUUUAUCUUGCUAACAGAGACUUCACUUCAUGACAUUUAUCACCAACAUCCCAAUUCCUAGGUGACGACAUGCUAUGCAAAAUUUUCUGCAAUUUAAUAAAUGAACUAAUAAUAAACUGUUCACAGCUGUUUGUUCGAUAUUGGAAUCUCGAACUGCAAGCAGGACCAAUGUCUCUCAACCCAAACUCAUGAGGAAGCGAGACAGAAACUAUCUGAAUAUCUGCAAUACAACUAUUUUAUAAAUGGCCCUGAAGAAAACUGAGGCACCUAACAACUCUACAUUAAGAGGAAAAAAGAAAGGCCAACCUGCAUCACUUUGGAUUGGUGAUGAACUUCGAUUCAGGUUCAAUUAAACAUGUUUUCAGUUUAACCUUUUGUUCUCUUUUUGUAAUAAUUGUAGUACUUAAAAGUGGGUUUUUGUAAAACAAAUCAGAAGUUGAUGUGGAUUACCACAUCAAGGAUUACAAUAUUUUACCAUAGUAUUGUAUAUAUCCCUGGCUGGACCAAUACAUACUUCCCGGUACUAGUGUGCCAGCAGAUGGUAUACCAAUAUGUACUGAAGAGGAAGAAGAGGAAGAAAGAAGCAGAGGAAGGUGUAAGAGGAAGGAAGAAAAGAAAAGAAGACGAGGACACGGUAGAGGAAGAGAAGAGAAGAAGAGCAGGAGGACGAGGCAUGGAGGAGGAUGUGAUGUAAGAGGAAGGAAAAAGUGGAAAUGGUGAAGGAAGAGGAGAAGGAAUAUGAGGAGAAGGGGAGGAAGCAUACCCUACAUCAACGAUGCAUGAUGGGUGGCAAGGAGGUAGGUAACAGUAAACGGCAGUGGUUGGCUCGUGAUUUCAUGCUCCACACAUACAGAGAAGAGGGCCUUCAGUAGUGGGGGAACAGGAGGAGAAAGAGUGGGAAGCAUACCCAAGGUCAAUGAUGUGCAGUGUGGGGGAGGUGGACAGCGAUGUAUGACAGUGGUUGGUUCGUGAUUUCAGGCUCUAUGCAUAUAGAGAAGAGGGCUAAUGAAAAUGAGCCCUAUUUGAAGCAAAAGUUAUUUUAACAGGGCUGUCCAAAAUAGAGGUGGUAAGUAUCUUAGUUCGGGCUUGGAUCGGUAAAUACCGAUAGAUACGAGUCAACCCAAGUGAAAUUGCAAUUACUAUACCACAUGGCAACAUCUCCAAUGCUACUUUAGGUUUCUUAGGUGGCUCAAGGAGAAAAAAGAAAGCCAAUGAGGUAAAAAGUGAAAGAAAUCAUUUUUUGAUAUUGACUUAAGAUUACAAAUCUUGCAUCUCUACAAAAAUAAUUCAUCAUUCUACAAAGAUAAAAGUCUAUUGAAGAUAAAAGUCUAUUGAUCUGAUACAUUUUAACAAAAAAAACAAUUUGUCAAUAAAAAUCUGUAAAAUUAACUUCUCCAAACUUUUUUGUGAUUUCCUUUCUUCUUAAAUCACUAACAGAAAGUUUUAAAAAGGGAAAAGGAAUGGUAACUAAGACAUUGAAUAAUAAAUGAGAAUGAACAACUAUGUAUGAGAGUGGUUUGAGGGCACAAUCUUCCUCUCAAAGUAAAUUAUGAGGGCUUGGAGCGAAUUUAAGAAAUUUAUUGAUUCCUUAUCUCGCUAUCCUCUCUCCUUAAUUAUCGUACCAUUUAAAAGUCUCCAUUACAUUAUCCUUAAAGCUCUAAGAUUCUUGUUGUCAUAUACUUCACUUGACCAUACAUGAUACACAAAACCCCAAACUACUGAGAACCUAAUAGCUACACGACACUAGAAACUAGUGGAUUAGCCUCAUGAUUAAGUAAAGCUAGUCAAGAAGAGCAGCAUUGUUGUCUUUGUUUCUUCUCAAGCCUGGUAUGUAUUUAAAUUUCAAUAAUUAUGUUUUCGUUCUUUGAAUUGAUUUUCCUAUUAAUCGGGCAUGUGUUAAUCAGCUCCUCCCUCUUUAGUUUGUCCCUUUUGUUUUCCACCAACACUAUUCCUAAUACCUUAAUCGUUAGUACCCUUCAGGUUGUCCUACGUCAAACCCCUUCCAGCAAAAGUUUGGAAAUCAUAUAUAAUUGAACUUUGUUUAAGUUUAAACUGCUGAAUAUAAGUUGUUUUAUCAUCAGCAAAGGAAUGACUAAACAAUCUACAUGCUAACAGUAUGCUGAAAGAAGUAAACAAAAGAUACAUCAUGCACCUAAGGUAAAAGGACUAACCAUUUGAGCCUUGAUCUCCUCCUGCAACCUUUCCAUGUCAGAUUUUAACUGAUUAACUACUUUCCCCUGAGGCAACAAGCCAAAUGUCACGCUUGGAUAAAAAAUGUCUUUUGCAAAACCAAUACUCUCACACAAUCAGCUUUGACAUUAGCAUACAGAGAAAUUGCCAAUCCAUGGUCAAAGAGCACACCUGUUGGUUAAAGCUAUCAGUUAAUGAUGAAUUCUCUGCAGCUAAGGACUCUGCUAGUGUUUGAGCUGUCUGUAAAGCCCGUUGCAACGAGAAUUUUUCUUUAGUUAAAUCCUCAAUAUGCUGUAAGACAGAAAAUAUGACUGCUGAGAAGUGAACAUUAACUAUUUUCAUACAGAAAAAUUAAUAGAAACAGAUUUAAUGAUGGCAAAUUCAUUUAUAAUUACUGUAAAAAUUUCAAAAGCAAAAUAACAUAAGGAUCCUAAUUGAGUUAGCUAUAUAACUAUGACAAUCACAUUGUACCAAAUAAGUAACAAGCACCACAAAAAAAAUUUAUGAUCAAGUAAAGUUUUAAGACCUAUGAUAUAUUCCCAUCAGAAUAGUACAAACAAAGCAACUGCAAUUAAAACAUGCUUGAUCAAGUUAAUGGGGAAAAAAACCUAUGCUUUCUACUGGAUCAACCAGUGCUAUGCUUUUUUUUUUCUAAAACCUAAUAGCUUGAAUGAAAUUUAAAAUUAUUUUUAAUAAAAUUUUGAGUAAGAAUUUCGCUUCCAGUUUACUAGGAUCUUUUUUCCUUUGUGGAAGUCCUUAAUCAGAAAAGUUGUGACUUCUGUGGUCAAUAGAGCCAUGGAAAUAACAAGACGUUGUCUCCCUCACUUCUUGGCAUCAGCAAUAUGUACUAUUUCAAUAGAACAACAAGACAAAAACUGCCUUGUAAAGGGUAUACCCCAAAUUACCCCAAAUCAAAGUGGUAACAUACACAAUAUUAAUGCAUGUUGAUACUUGUCCAUCUAGACAUUCCUUAUCUCAAGUAUAUUCCUGACUUCAUCCGCAUGCACCAUCCAGGAGACACUGAUCCAUAGAACAAUUCAAUAUAAACUUAUCAAUUAUACUAUGAGGUCUACCAUCAUCACAUGAAGAUACAACUUUGAAAAUUUUAUAGAGUGGAGUUUUGUUGCUGUUGAGACUUCAUAUAUUGUGUAUAAAAAUUAGGAAAACAUGUAUUAUUUGAAAUUGUGUAUGAUGCAUUGUCACUGACUUGCUUCACUCCUAAGUGACCAUAAUAUGUUUCUAUCGAGAUGUCAUGUUCAUAAAUAUGUUAACAUGGUUCUAUUAUAUUUACAGUCAUAAAACCAACCUAGAUAUUAUGAAUGAUAACAACAUGUAUCACAGAUGAUAGUUGAUACAUCACUAUUCAAAAUUAUCAAACCAAUAGAAACUGAAAAAUAAAAUGAUCAUAAUAUUGCUAAAAUUAUGAGUUCAUCUUUCUUCAUUAAAAUCAACGUCAAGUUAUGAUCAUCUUAAGACUAAUUUUUUAUUGUAACACCACAUAAGGUGGCAGAUAAAGGAUUUUUAAUUGAUAACCAUACCUUUCAUAUUCUUUUAAAAAAAUUAAAUCGUGUUUUUCUUAAAAGAGCCUUAGUCAAAAUAGGAUAGAAAAUAUAUUAUCUUUAGAAUAGGAUUAUCAAGAUAAUGUCUAUGAAUGGAAUCAAAUAACCUGCUCCAAAGAAGCAAAAUCUUCGUCUUUUUUCAAAGAUGGAAACUCAUGAUCCCUCUGGAUAUCUUGAUCUGUUGCUCUCUGCUUCGGCUGUUGCUCCUCAUCAAAGAAUCCCAUAGUGCUAAAAGAUGAUUGCUUUUCUCUAGUGGAAUCAAGAGUUGUCAACCUAAGUGACUGUUCCAUGGAGUUAUCUGCAGAUGGCUGCUGCAGGGAAGCUGAUAACUGAGCCUCUGUGUUCUGGAAUUUUGAAUUGUCAAGUGAUACAGGUGUAACAAUACUAUCAGGGUCGCCAUGUGAAACGUUAGAUAUUGAAGAAACUCUGGGCACACCAAGUGAGUCGAGAAAUGAUGGACGUGAUCGACCAAAUGUGGUUCCAUAGCUAGUCACAGGAAAAGUUUCACCAGAGGAUCUUCCAAAACCAGAACUGAAGCCUGCAGAAAAAGAUUCUGGUGCACGCCAAGUUGAAUUGUCAACAUUAAGGCGACGACUAAUGGCAUCAGCUAUCCUCCCUCCCGCACUAGCAGUACCAUGAUUAUCUUUGUUGCUGAUUUGAAAAGGUUUCUCCACUGCAUAAGCAGACAAUUAUUUUGUUAAGAACUGAAGCCCUGAAUAUAAAUAUAAUUCAUAGCAAAAUGAUGCUCUAACAGGCGUGAUGGAAAGUUGGAACUUAAUUACCAUCAUAUAUCUUGGUUGAUGCACUAGGAUAACCCAAGGUGUGCAUUGCAGAAAUACUUUCCGACUUUUCAGGAAGAGUGCUCAUAUUAUAAGCACCUGACACAUCCCUAUCAUGCAUGUGACUUGUGGAAGAAACUCUGUUCUUGAAAUCACCUGAUUCAACAUUAUGCAAAUGAAACCCUGGACCAUGGAUAUUCCCAUCAAUAUAUGGCUUUGUGAUAUCUGGAUCAAAAGCAAUAUGCUGAUCUGCUUUAAAACCAUCAGCUGAUCCAACCUUUGAUUCCUCGUUACCACUAAGCUCAUUUUUCUCUCUCCAGUGGUCAUAAUAACCAUUAGCCGAUUCAGAAAAAGUUGAGCUGUCAGGUAAUCUGAGGACUUUAUCCUUAACAGCUUCUUGCUCUGAAUUACCAUGUGAUAUAUGAUUGUUAUAGUUCCAGGCAGUAGAAUUAACAGGCAUCCUAGUUGACAAAUCAACAUCGCUGUUUUGGGAAGAAUUAACUGCUUUAUCUUCAUAGGAUAUCACAACCCCAGAAGUUUUGACAACAUUUGUGCCACCUGUACCUGAAGAAUCAUCUUCCUUAUGCUGAUUAGUUUUAGAAGAAUUUUCAUAUUGGUCUACAUCAGUUGAUUGCAAGUGUCCAACAGAUGCAACCUGUUUAGCAGCUUUUUUCUUCCGGAACUCCUCCAACUGUUAAAAACGAAUAAAUAACUCACAUCAGAAGUUAGUUCCAUUAAAACUCUCACCCAGCAAAAAGUAAAAAACAUAAAGCGCACCUGAAAGAGUUAAACCAUAGAGUAUGCCAGCUGUAACCUUGGAAGAUUGUGCAAAGCAUCACACAUGCAAUGCAGACAUAUAUACACACAGAAACGCGAUAUGUAUGCUAAGCAUCAAGUCGGUGUAUAUCUUAAGUUUGUAAUACUGCCCGGAACAGUUUGGUAUAUGUGGUAUUUAUCGGUCCGACAGCCUACCUAUAUGCAGACCAGGGUAAACUGGACAGUAGGCCCCGUACAGGACCUGUACCACCUAGUACAAGGCUUGUACUAGACAGUAACUUUUUUCUUUUUUUUUCUUUUUUCAGGCUUUUUUAUAAACUCGGUGUGUAUCAAUGUACUGACACAUGGUACACCAAUACUAAUCAGACCAUUCCUAGCCACCAGAAUGGUCUUGUACCCAAAAUUAAAAACCUCAUCUUAGAUUUUCAUAUUUGUUAAUGUAUUACCUACAAGAAUUCAAAUUGCAAUAACAUGUUGAUGUAAAACAAUGGUUCUGGGCUUCCACCCUCUAGGAAACAAUAAAUGUUUUAAUUGAUAUAUUUCCCACAAUCUUUCAUAUUGCUUCUCCUAUUCUAGCAUUAGGCCAUCUAGUCCCCCCCCUUCUCAACAACCAUUGACCUUGGAAUUUAUUGUGGUUUCUGACAUCUCAUAGUUAUGCGACCGUACCAUUCAAAAUUAAAAUUAAAAUCCUUGGUUUGGACCACAUGGAUCCAUGAGCUUUGAUCAAUAAGGCAUGUUUAGUCACAGAGAAGAAGAUGCAAUGAAGUCGUGUUGGAUAUAGAGAUGGGGUAUUGAAAAAGACUAUGCUAGGGCAGCAAUUGGGAGAGACAAGGGUGGCCAUAAGGCAGCAUAGAAAAGGACAGAAGCACUUUGAUACUGACUACCAUUGAUCAAAUCAAAGGACAAAGAGAAAGCAGAACAAGAAGAUAACGCAAAACAGAGCAUAGAAAAAUCUUGGUUAAAAACUAUCGGAGAAAAUGUUAAAAUGCAAUGAGCUCUAUUUUCUUCCAAAUGUCAAAGAAAAAUCAACAAUGUUUGUUUCCUUUCAACAAUGUAAAAAGAGUAUAAUAUUCUGCUAGCUUGAGAGGAGUCCGGAUAGUAUCUGAUUAGCUUGCAAAAAACCUUGCAAGUUGACUAAUUCAUACUAAAGAGACCAUCAAAGGGAGUCAUGUGAUCCUCGAAAAUAUCCUCCUAUUGAGGUCCAAUGAACUGGUGAAUUAGCUCAAGAGUUUUAAUGAUGCCAAAGUAUAUGGAGUCAAUUUAUGGUAUGCAAGUAACACCACUUUUCAUGUUGGUUAGUAAAUGUCACAUGCAAGACCAAAUGUUUCAAAAGUUUCAAAGAAAAUACAAAACAUCCUUUUGUUUUUAUCCUUUUCUUUCUCCUUUUGAGUACUAAAACCCAAGAAAAAAAGAACCCAGUUUAAAGUAUUAACUCCCAAACCAAAAUGCAAAGUAUGAUUUACAAUUCCAUUACUCUCCAACCAAUAAAUCUUAUAUCAGACAACCUAAAACAAAAAAGGGAAAAAAAAAAAGAUAACCGCAAAGAACUUGGAUAUGCAUAGAGGUAUGAGAAAAUAAAAUGACAUAAGAAAUAUUGGAAAAAAAAAGAAAGGAGUUCAAAAAGAUAAGAAGUCCAUAUUGCAAGAAGGGAUCUAACAGAAUACAAAAAUUACUUGCAAAUCAAUUUGCUUUCAUCACCUUCUUCAAUUAGUUGGUCACAGAUUCUCUUAUGGAAAUGUAAACUUCCUAUUAGUUGAAGUAGAUCAGCCUUUAAAAGAUAAGAAGUUAGAUCUUGCACGCAACUUCUAACGGUGAGAUAGGAUGCAUCAAUAGGCAUCUAGCUUUGCCAAAGAGGCAUGCACUUUUUUGCUUUCAUUUUUUUUCAUAGGUAUAGUAAAAUAAAAAAUGAGAAGUAACUUUUUUAAAAAUAAUUAGUUAAUUUUCUUAAAAGCUUGUCCAAAAAAUAAAUUGCAAUAAAACAUCAAAGAAAAGUAUGGUUUGACUCCUCCAUCUAAUUAAAAGAAUAAUCUCACAACCUAAAUUUUAUAGAAUAACAGAAAAAGACACAACAUAAUUGUAUAUUAGGUAUUACACAUUCACAAUGAUAUGCACAUUUUUAAAGAACAUCCAACAAAAUUUUCAAUCAACAAACAAACCAAAAGCGAUUAACCUCAACCAAGCAAUGGCUUAAUGUAUGUGCACAUCAACUGAAGAACAUUUCUUCUGAACAUAUAGGAAAGUCCUUUUCCCUAUCCUUAGACAAGAAAUGCACUGUCAUUCUGAAGGGCUUCCCUCUUAGACCUUAAGCUGCUUCCAUGAAUUCAAAAAGAUCGGUCUCGCCUGUGAACUAUGCUAACAACGAUUUGACAAGAUUCUUGUUAAAAGCACCAAGUAAACUAAAUGAUCAAAGAAUACCUUGACAAGUUGAAGGUUUCUUGAGAUACAAAAAAAAUUCCUAAUAAAAAGAUGACAAGGUCUCAAAUAAGAUUCCUCUAGUAAACUAAAUGAUCAAAGAAUACCUUGACAAGUUGAAGGUUUCUUGAUAUACAAAAAAUACCUGAUAAAAAGAUUACAAGGUUUCAAACAAGAUUCCUGUACACGAAAUACCCUAAUUUUAAUUUUAAAGAUGACAAGUUGAAGGUUUCUUGAUACACUAAAUGAUAAAAAAAAACCCAAUUUCCAAUUUCUUGAAACUGGAUCUCGCAAACAAACAUCCAAAACAUCAACCAAGACAGCCGCAAACAAUACCUUCUUCUUGCCCAAUUCGAGGUGCCCUUGCUUGCGCGAUGAGGCUACUGAAUUGGACAUGACCUUCGCGGAAGCCAUCGAGAAAACCCUACCUCCUCCCUUUUUAUCCACCUAGAAUGCCCAAUUCCGGUGUCCGCCGGGACCAGGACGAGAAGAAAAAAUAUUGUUUUGAGGAGGAGGAGCGAGAAGCUUCAAAGUAUCGGAUCUCCAGAGGGAUCACACGAAUCGAAGAAAUGGAAUCAUGGGAUCACGGAAGGAUCGAGGCAACGAGCUCUCUGAGAUCGGCGAAGGGUUGAGGAGGGAAGCGGAUUUGGGAGAGCGUCUUUGUUUACAGAUCUCUCCGAUCUCCUCUCUCUCUCUCGCUCUCGCGUUUUGCUUACUAUUUUUACCUCUUUUCUCGUCUGUUGGGGAGGUGGGUAGGGUCGGCUUAGACUACGAUGCCGGACCGAACCGGUUCGGUUUGGUUUUCGGCGUCGGCGGACCAAAUCAGGGCUUUAAGACACAAGGAUGGGCCGAAAAUAGAUAACAGCGGUCUGAUUAGUUCUCAAAAUCCACCGAAACCGUUUAAAUCAGAUUCAAUUACUCUUUAAUUGGGUUUGAGACAAAUAAUUAGUGUUUAAUUUAUGAAAUAAGUCUGAUUUGUAUUCAAAUUUAUAUAAUCUGUAUAAAAAAUACUUUCUAAUUAUGUUUGAGAUAAGUUCCUAAGAAAAAUGAAAUACUCGAUAGCAUGGUUCGUCUUAUCGAUCCAUACCAUUGUAUCGAUCGACUGUCGGUAUGAUAUAUACCAAUGUAUUGACAUAUAGUACGAUAGGAUAUACCAAGAGACUGAUAUAUAUUGUCCAUAUUGAUCUCCUAUUGGAUCGGUACGUACCCCUAUAUCGAACGGUACACCGUGAUACGAUGAACCUUGUUUGAUAUAUCAGUCUGUCUGAUUAGUACCUUAAUCCAUCUAACCUAUUUAAAUUGAAUUUAAGGUUUGAUUAUCGUGAUGAUUAAUCUUAGUAGGAUUCUCAUGAUAUGUAAUACUAAUUGCAGUACCUCCCAAAGCAAGUUCUUUAGCUGCAUGUUUCUUACCAUUGUUCAUGAAGCAUUGGAAAGAACAUCUCUGUGUGUACACUCUCUUUCUCCACCAGCCAAAAAAUGAAUCUAAAUCUCAGAAGUGUUUUAGGAGACGAUAAAAUUUAGCUAUCAUGUCAACCAAAUAUCAUGGCAUCCUUAUCAACUUCAUCCAACUCCAAAUGCAUUCAUAGAUAAGGAGCAUCUAAACCAGCAAAACAGUCGGAGAACACAAUUUGUUCCACUGUUGGUCAUUCCUUUUUUUUUUUUUUUCCUUGCGUGAUCAAUCUUCUACAAUUAUUGGCAGCAGUUGACAUAAAAGAGAACAUCAUUUGACAGACUUCAUAUUUCAUACUUGAAAGCCAAGUUUCAGAACAUGUUGUUAAUCGAAAUUUAUUUUGGGCCAACUCACAAAGAUGAAGCACCCUGCAUUCUUCAAACAUUGCUUGCUUGGCAACAAUUUGCACAAUUAGCAGAUAAAAGGAGCAGCCACAUGAUGGUCGCUGCAGUAGAGGCCAGGCCGCUGCGUGAAUCCUUGUUUGACCAGCAUCCGUCGAGCCCUCAACACGAGCUGCUGGUUUGAAACCUCACCAUCCAUCUCCUCGAGAAUGGUCUGAAUUGCAUUGCUGAGAGCUCCAUAAGCUCCGUCUGGACUACCUGGAGGAGUGGCAUCAGCUGAUGUCUGGUCUGUCUGGCAGCCACUGAUCAAGAUUCCAUUAUCUGGAAGGCAGCCCCAUUUGGCUCCGGCAUACACUUCCUGUUUGCUACGGACUUCAGUCCCUGAUGCUGGCUUCACAUACUCUUCGUCGUUCUCCUCCAGCUUGUGCUUCAAAAACUCCUGUGCCAGACUACCAACCAUGCCCAUGAACCCACCUCCUCCACCACUUUCCCCAUGCUGGAGCUUGUUCAUUAGGAAAUUCAUGAACUUCUUCACUUUAGGACUGGCAUCCUCGCCAAAAACAUCGAACAAGGUUGGCCUAAUCUUCCCAACAUCGAUGUCUUGCUUUCCAGUCUGCUGCUUUAAGAUCUCAAUCAAUGUGGACAGAGGAAGCGACCGACUCUUAAUGUAAGAUUGUGCACCAUCUGCUCGGUUGGCAUUGCUACCGGCUUCAUCAUGGUGGUGAUGGCGUUCAUGAGGAAGGUGGAUUCCUCGAGAGUCAAUUGCAUCACUAAUGGUCUGUUUCAAGAACGAUCCAAAUCCAAAGCCAGAAUCAGAGCUAUCAUCUUGGUGCUUGGUACUCUCACCAAUUUGCUCCUUGGAUUCAUCAAUGAGGCCACCGCUAUGGCAGGAAUCAGAAACAAUGGUGAUCCGACAACCCUUAGGAACUUUGUUCACAAAGUCUCUGAAGUCAUCAUCUACAAAAAACAAGUAUAUUCGUCAUUCAUAUCCAAUGGACUACCAAGAUUAGCCAAGAAGACAUUGCUUCCCCCAACAGCAUAAGAUCCAAAGGAUAGUUUGUUUCUACAAGUACAUGAUCUUGUUGGUUAAGUGCAGGACAGAAACUUCAGUGGCAUGAAGAUCAACAGAGUAAAAUAGAAUUCUGAGUGUAAGAAUUUCUUAUUGUUGAUAUCUGGAUAAAAACAUGUGUCAUUGCAAUAGAACUACCUGUGAAGAUCAACCAAUCAGUUGUGAAACAAGCAAGUUUCCGAACAUCAAGAAGGUUCACUGAAUAGAUCAGCCAAAUAUAUAAUCUAUGAGGACGUAUUCCUAUUCUUCUCAUGAAUGUAAAAUGCAAUAGUACCAUUUAGAUUUUGGAUUAUUUUUUAUAAUGUUUCUAAACAAGUAAUGCUAAAGGCAAUUUUGGAUGCUACAAGUCUACGACAACAAUAAGUAAUAAUGUCACAACUAAUGAAGAGUUGAAGACUAUCUUGGAUCAACAACAAAAAGCAAGCACACAUGAAAAAGAGAAAAAACAACAAAGACCACAAAUCCCUGGCACGGAUAUUCAUCUUUAUCAAUCAUCUUAUAGGUAAAUCAGAUUCAGAACUAAAAAUGGCACAUUCCCUAAUUCAUCAAGGUCAUUAAGGUGGGAACCUGCAAAAUAAUCUAAAUGAGAUAAGCACUUCUGUGGGGUGUUUUCUGGGACAUGAGAGUUAGAAAUACUGCUAAUCUGAUUUGAAUCUCAAGAUCAGCAUAAAAGAGAAAAACUAUUCUAGUUGCAAUCUGAAUCAUACCAAAAUUCUUCACAAAAAAUAGAGUAUCUGUAUAGAUUUCCAAACCUAUUGAAUCCAGAAUUGAUACUAAAUGGAAACUAAAAUAAUGCUCCAACUUGGAGUACACUUUCUCUUUUAGGCCAAAGAGCAUAACAUUUUUCGACAGCAUAAACUAUGGUGAUCUAAUCCCACUUGGUCAUUUAUACCAAAAAAAUGACAAAGGUAGAAGGUUGAGGUUUAUCAAAUAAGCAAAACCUAUAUAAGAUAAAAAUCAAGUCAAAAGCACUCAAGUCUGUGAUAUUCUUUAUCAUCUAAUAUACAAAUAACAGAUGAUGUGAGUUAUCUAUUACCAUAACUAACAAAACACUCCAAAGAUAACUAUUCUAUUGUUCGUUCUUCUAUGCACUUGAGCCAUUAAAGUAGGACUCAGAAUAUCAAUCUAAAAAGUACUAGAAUUUUAGGGAUUGAACUAUCCUUUUUGUGUUCUUUAGAGAAUGAGACUUAUAAAUCAUGCUCCCCUGAUUUUGAUUUCAAAUCAGCUAAAAAAGGAUACUAUAAUAGUUGCAAUCCUAAUCAGAAUUAAAUUCUCCUUCAUCAAGAAAGGUACUAAUUGCACCAAGACUAUGAAUUUUACAUGCCAAUUCCUGAUAUUAGAUUGAAACUAGAAAACAAUAUCUUAAAAUACAUUUUUCGCCAGCAAGCUAUGAUUAUUUGACCAAAACGGCAGUCGAGGUGUUGGAUAGAAAAAGGAAAAACAGAUAACAUAGACAUCGAAGCCCUGUUUGGAUAUGAGUUCAAAGAACAAUUUUCUGAAAGCCGAUCUCAAGACUGAUCUCCGGGAUCAAAUUUUACCCUCUUCCCAGGAGAUCGCGGUGGUACUGCUGUGCUAAUUGCAUAUAAUUCGCAUCCGAUCUGUUAACUUUACUGACACAUCGAAGUUAGUAAUCGCAAAAGAGGUUUUAGAGAGAAGACGAUUGUAAGAGAUAAUAAUAAUACGAAUUUGAAGCAAUGACAGGAGGAAUAGAAAAAGAGGGUAGGAGAAAAGAGGAGAGGAGGUGGACCGGUGAUGAGGUUCAUGUCGCAGGGGACGAUGCACUCGUCGUAGCCGGUGUCGUCGUCGUCACCGGUCUCGGCGGGGAGGCGGGUGCCGUGGCCGCUGUAGUGGACGAAGAGGAAGUCGCCGGGCUCGGCGGAGGAAACGAGGCGGGUGAGGGCGCGGCGGAUGUUGGCGCCGGUGGGCCGGGGGUAGGCGUCGUCGGUGUCGAUGAGGACCGCGAUGUCGUCGUCGGCGAACCCGAAGCGCUUCACCAGGCAGCGGCGCAUGCGCUUGACGUCGUUAAUGCAGCCCCGCAGCUCCGCCUUCGUGCCCGGGUAGUUGCACCCCACCAGGACCGCCUUCUUCCCCAUCGUCGUGCGUGAUCCGAUCUAUGUGUGUGUUGUUGGGUGGGUGGGUGGACGAAGCGUUUUCUCGGGCAGCUGUUCGUUUAAAUAGCUGUGGAACGGGUCGGAUCGGUUCACCACUUUACCUAUUUGGUGUCGGCAGCGCUUCAUCCUCGAGUAUGAAUACUUCCCGGGCUUACACGACUUCUCCGCUGGCGCUAUGAUUCGCUAUGUAGUUGACUUCCACGGUGGGACCCAGAAAUGUCUAGACGUGGGUAAAACAAAAGGGUAAUUAUUCUUUUCAUUUUUCUAACUUAAGGGACUCUGCAAGAUGGGUUUAUUGGGCCUCACUAUUACAGGGCAGCCCAAUUAUAAAUAUAUAUAUAUAUAUUAUCCUUAUAAUUUUUUUUGUAAAAUAUGUAAAGGUAUUUUUUGCUAGUCAACACCUUCAAAAUUUAAAAUCUUAUAUUGUGGUUAAUAUUUAUUAGUCAAUAUUAAUUUUGAUAGUAUUAAUUUUUUAAAGGAUCCUUUAAUUAAAAAACACUAAAGUAUUUUAGGUAUAUAGAUAUUUAUUUAAACUCAAACUAGCUAUUGCUGAUUAGGUUAACCUUAUUGUUUUAAAUGGAAUUUAAUGCAAAUAUAUGAAAAAUAAUUGAGGGUAAUAUGCUGCCAUUUCCACACUCCAAAGAGUAGCCUAUUUUCUUGUCAAUAUGUCAGUUUUUCCUAAUUUUACAGGGAUUUUUGGUCACUCCAAUCAAUAUUUGUUUUAUCAUAUAGUUAAUAAUAGAAAACAAAAUAGUGAUUGGAAUCAUAUGGGCACUUAAAUUUAGAAGAAAAAUUCAUGCAAAAAAAAAUAAAGAUACAAUAAUACCAUCUUGUGAGGUUACAGAUGACAUGAACCGAUCUAAAUCGACCGGUGGAGUUCUUCACAGAGAGGUCUCAAAUUACAGGCACAAAAUACGUAGGCCGUAAGUGGCAUGCACAUCAUGCAAUUCUCAUGCGACGCUACGCAGCGUUCUGUGCUGCCAACAACGCGUUGAACUCCUCUCUCGCUCUCCGCAGUCUGGGCGUGAUGCAGGUGGAGGAUGGUGAUGCCGGAUACGACGUCGGUGCUGAGGUGGAGAACCGGACGUGGCGGUUCGACGACGAAGCGUGCGACUUCCUCGACGCCAGAUUCGACGUGCUCUUCUUCAGCACCCCCUUCAAGUCCUUGUCGAACACGAAGGCUGUCCUCACCGGCGAGUCGGCGUCGUCGUGGCAGCUUUUGAUCAGCUCCAAUGGCAGGUCGAAGUAGGAGUGUCCGCCGUCGUCGUCUCCGUCGAUUCCUAGUAGCGCAGACGAAGACCACGAGCCGCAUGAGAACUUCUCGAGGGAGGCCGCCUUCGAGACCGUGCUUAUCCUGCCCUUGGCUGCCGACUCUCGUGCAUCUUGGAAGCCCUGCGGUACGACUUUGCGAAGCUGCAGGUGUCCCGAUUGCGCUUGGCUUGCUUGCUGCAGGAUUACUUGUUUCUUCCUGUGGGAGAGGCCAGGCAAGAACAAGCACCAGCACUUGAAUUGGUCGUCCUCUAGUUGAGCAUGGACUGGUUGGGGAGUCUCCUCCUUGCUGUCAUCGUCGCUUGUGUCGUGGUCGACGACAUGAACUCCGUCAUCAGGUUGAUGAAUGCUUGGUCUUCUUGACAGGAUGUCGAUGAACUCGACGGACGGCGAAGAAGAUCUUCCUUCGCCGCAGGACUUGCUCCGGCGGAGGGAGGCCUUUUGGUCGGCCCAGGCGAAGCGGGCCGGCACUGGAGGUUCCUGGUCGUCGAGGUAGUUCCACUUCUUUGGCGAGGAGAGGGCAGAACUCGGGAGGCUGCAGCUGACCAACUUGGGCCGAACGAGCACCGGCGGAGGCAGAAACUUCACCUCACUAGCGGCGGAACCUCCGUCGGAUAUACGAUUACCUCGCACAUCUGCGAGCUGCUUCAGCGACAGAGGAUCCACAGUUAUCUGUUUCUCCUUCUCCACCGGUGAAUCAGAGUUGGUGGAAGCAUAAUUCUCGUCGUCGGAGUCUCCGAUCGCCUCUUCUCUGUACGCCGGCAUGGUGUGUGUUCAAAGAACUUAGACAAGCAUGUAAGUGUUGGACGGGAAGAAGCGAUCGUUUCACGUUCUUAAAGAUGCAUGCAAGCGUUGACCACCGCAGGAAUGUCGGGAGCACGACAGUGGAAAGUGUUCGACAUGUUCUCUGUGGUUGUCAAGCUGUUGAGUGCCAUUAAUGUUGACAGAGAAGAAAUUUCAACCGUAAUCUUCAUACGCUAUGACGAAUCGAAUAUAAUAACAUCGUUAAGGGUUACUCGAUGCUACCCAUCUGAGUCACAAGCAGAUAAAGAACGCAACAAUUUCAAAGGCUCUUCAUCUAACCUGUGGGUUGCUGCACUUAAAGAAAGGAGAGAAUUAUGAACAGAGGAUUUCAUGUUCAUGUUGCAUUGGUAAACACACUGACCAUUGUUGAUGAUCUGAUCAAAGACUAAUCGAACAAGAAAAUAAACCAUGCAAGACAUUGCAUACAAAACAGAGUGAAAUCCUGUUCUUUAUUUUGUGUUUUAGAACAGAAACUAGCAUUAGAAGGUAGAAUACCCAAAGAAACCUCUCCCCCGGUAGGUAAUAUGCUCAUAACAUCAAAGAAAUAAAUGAACACAUCAUUUAUUAGUAGGGAGAAAUGUAGAAGAUGAGCAAUUACUGGUGAUGCAGUCACCAGGUGAAGGGAAAAUAUCCCUGCAUCCUGCUGAGCAAAUGAUAUGAACACAGUCAUAAACAGAAGAACUGGAUCGAUCAUACAAUUCAUCUUGUGAAACCAUAUAUAAAGAACAUAAACUUUUAGUUUGAUUAGCACACACCUAACAAGUCAUUCAUCUGUCUCAGGGAAGUUUGGUCACCCUGUUCAGAAUUCUAAGUUGCAUGCAAAUCUUGGUGGGAACUCCAAUAAUUAGAAUCAUAGAUGCUCAGUAACAAUCAGCAUCAACCAGGAGAAGAGCAGCAAACUGAGACAAUUCAACUCCUGUAUAUAGCAAUGGAUGAUGGCAAGAAGAUUGAGAAGAUAGAGGGAAAGGCAAAACCUAGGGCUGUCCAUAUUAGCUGGACCCUCAUACUCAUGUGGCAACAUCAUAAUGUAAAGUCAAACAAGAUUCUUCUGUUCAAUGGAUCUAUGAUUUAAAACGAUGUUAUCCUUAUCAUAGACUUAGAAUAACUUGUUAAUCAUGCGCAUUUAUAUAGUUGAUCUGAAUAAGAAGGCUAUUAUAUGUAUGGAAGCCAAAUUUUCAAGAACUUGAUGCCACAUUCUAGAACAAGAAUGAAAAGCUCAAUGUAUUUGUGAUCUCUUAUUUCAAGUCAAAACCUUCUGUGUGCAUGCAAUUUUUAUGUCAUCCAAAUCAGUAUAUGGGGCUUCUGUCUCUUAUUUGCAGUUCAACAAGAUGAAAGAGAAGGAUCCUGCUGCUUUAUUUCCAGAACAAAAAGGUGCAAGAGAAACCUAAGCACAUACUCUUGCUGAGUAACUAGACACAAUUCUCAGUCUCCCUAAGCUACUGGUGGCACAACACUAGCAACCUAUAUUUGCAAUCCAAUCCUAAGAGUCUAGCUAGAAUCACUCUGAACCUACUUCAAGCAAAAUUCUUCAGAAGAUAUGCCCCAUGAUGACAAGUUCAAUCCUUGUUUUACAUCCUCCUACCACAGAUAUUAGACCUCACUUCAGAUUAGUCUAAGAAUGUCUCCAUGAUGUCUUGGUAAAUCCCUGCCUCUGAGCCCCUGUAAUCCAUGGGCUGAGGAGUCGAUGCAUGGUGAUGGUCCAACGAGGAGGAAGAGGAGGAGGUAGUCAUUCUUGCGGGUAACGUGAGGCUCCUCUUGAACUUGCUAUGUUCCAUCUUCCUAGCCUUACUGGAAUGGCUUGCUGAGCUCAUGAGGUCCUCAGUGUUACUGGCACUGAGUGCUGCACCGUUGUCACCUUGGUUUCCCUGGCUCUGCUGAGGUGGUGGCUUGUUUCCCAGCGUCUCGGAACCAAAGAGGAGCUUGGGAUCGUCAGUUCUUCCCGUUAGAGCAGUGAAGAAGGACAGGCCAUUGGGCCAUUUCAGGUCAGGUUCAUGCGCCGGCAUCAUCUCAUCCAUCUGCGCUUCCGAGGAGGAGGGAGGGAGGAGGAAGAGCUGGGUGUCAUCGGUGCUGUUGGGAAGUCCCAUGUGGGCUGAAGGGUGAUAAGCAGGGGGAGCAAUCGCAGGGUUCGAAGCGAGUGAAGGGUGGCUCCAGUUGAGGAUUGGAGGUGGAAUGCGAGCUGGGAUUUGCUUCAUGGGGGCGGACGGUGAUGGAGAACUGUUCCUACCUGAGGAGAAGAGCUGGGAAAGGAAGAAGCCAGAUUGGUAUCCCAGUGACUCAAACAUGUGUCUCAUUCUCAGUACAAAGUGCAGAUCCUCAGGUACCUGAUGCAAAAGAACAGAUUAAGAACAGCUCAUUUUGAUCCAUAAACAGAAAGAAGAGCUUUGCUACUAGUCACAAUUUUGCAGGAGCCCAGCUGCAGAAGGCCAUGGCCAGCUUGAAUCACAGCUAUAGUCUGUGCACAGAACAUCAGAUAUCAGAACACAAGACGAGUAGUAGAAAUGGAGGGGAAAGGGAACAAGAUAAAAACAAUGGAAAUGGGAACAUGAGGUUUGCCUGAAUUCCAGAAGCAAAUUGGUCAUUCCAUUCAGGAGGAAGCUGCAAUGACAGACAGUGUUAGAGGACAGCUUUCUUUCUCUCUCUCUUUCUCUCUCUCUCUCUUAUGGGUGGCCAGUAAAGGAAAGGAAAGGAAAGAGAAGCAAAACAGUGGCGUAGGCUGCAUACAGCAUCAAAAGAGCUCUGCCAGUAGUUGGCGAUGUUGGGUUCGCAUUCGGAAGGUUCCUUGAAGACCCAUUUGUGACACUUAUCAGAAGCAACCUUACCCAUCAGCCUGUUCAAAUCGACCAACCAAGCCAUGUUAGGAUUGAAGCUCAUCCAGAAAAAGAAAAGCAAAGCAAAGGCUGCAAAACAACUGCCCUCUUUCCACUCCUUAAUUUCCAUUUGCUCUUUUUGCUCUUCAACUUUUCCAGGCCAAUGACAACAAACUAAAGGACACAAUCACUCUCACUGACUUGUACUGGAAGAAGAGUUUGCAAGGCCAAAAAAAAUGGAGAUGGGAGAAAGAAACUAAAAGGAUUCAAAACACAUCCCCUCCCUUAAUACCUCGACUGUGUGUCUCUGUCUCUGGCAAAAAAAGAAGCAACACCUACCCAGUACCCACCCUUCUCCAUAAUUAUACAGCUGAAUGGACAUCUUGCUGAAGGCCUUUCUGACUUGGUCGUCUCCAUCAAUCUCAUCUACUCUCGUCCUGCAGAACCCAUCCUCCCACAUCAGCAUCCUGCAAGCCAAGCAAGAACAAGCACAUAAGACCGGAGAGAGCACAAAUUUGCUGUGAAGCGGAGGAGGCUACUCACAGGUUUCCAUUGUCGUCGCCAACCUUGCAGCCAUUUCCACCUCUGCACCGACUGCAGCAGCAAGCCACACGGCAGACGAGUUCAACAAACAAACAAGAGGAGUAACAGAAGAAGAAGGUAAGAGAUGCUGAUGAUGAAUCGGAGAUUACGGGCGAGGUCGGAUGGUCCAGAAGACGGAGUAAGUCCAGUCGGAGUUGAGGCAGACGUUCCUGAGGGCCUCAUGGAGAGCCAACAUGCCCACGGCCUCCUUGCUUCGACCAUCUCCUCCUACUCCUGAGCCCACCAUCUCUUGCUUUGUUUCUCUCUGCCUCUAUCUCACUCCUUACCCAAUAUAUACUUCUUUUCCCCUUUCACCGACUUACUCUUCUGAUGUUAUUGCACCUUCGUUCAACAGUGGAACCAAACCCCACACCAAGAUUAGCAGAGAAAAAGGUUAACAAGGUUGGCAGGCUCCCUUGUCUUUCUUCUCUCUGGUCUCUCUCUCCGGACUCUCUUUGCAGCAGACCUCAGCUUUCCUUCCUUUCCCAGUGGACUGACCGAGUUUGUUAACACACUCCCAGUGGUGGUGGUUUGGUGUUGGAUUUCAGAGCUGUUGGUGUCCGGCUAUCACAAAAUUGUUUAACAUGAGGAGGAUACCCUCCUUUUCCUUGCUUCAUCAUACGGCGAGGUGGUCCAAACUCUUUUACCUCGGGUAACUCCUAUUACGAACCUACCCUUCCAGAAAACACUGCCAGAGGUUGAACACUGCUGCCACAAUGCUGCCGUUCAUCUGGCGAAACAACAGGGCCGAGAACAAUGACCAGAGGAAGCUCUCAACACGUAGCUCUGCAUGUUUUGUUCACGCUCCUCCGGGUGCAAUCCAAGGAGACAGGCGAAUCUUCGCAGCAAACAUGAUCUUACGAAAGAUUCAGCCAGCCAUCAGAUCUCUGCCUCGAAGUGCAUGUGAGGAGACGGUGCGAAGCAUGAGGGAGAGUGAUCGACGGCGAAACGAGAAAAUCGAGUCAUGUUCAUCGCACAAGGGGAGAAGCUGUUUCGUCGGGAGAGAACAGGGUUAGUACAAGAAAGCGAGGGCAAAUGUUAAGGUGCGCAUCGGCACUGUGCAGGGCAAUUUUGUAAUAGGGGGGCUCACGUGGGCACGUGCCAUCACAGUGGGGCGGUGCCUCGUAAGGCAUAAAGAAAGCAAAAGGGCAGAGAGAGAGAGAGAGUGAGAGUGCUUUGAACAAAGACUUCUCGUUGUACCACACAAAUCAAACAAACACACAGUAGCCACCAAACUCCGAUGCGUGUCGGUCAUAUCGAGAUGUUGAAGUAGCAGUAGUAGAAGUCUGGACAACAACAACAACGAGUAUGGGAGACUGGCGAGCGCACGAAAGGAAGAGUCUGUGGACCCGAGCCCGAAGUCGGGUCCCACCAAAUCAUUGGGGUCGAGUCCGGCUUGGGUCGGGUAUGCCUGGUCGGGUGCGGAUCCGAAAUUGAUACCUCCGGAACACUUGCAAGAGAGUGAUAACACAAUUAGUCAUCUCAAUGCGUUGUCUUAUAUACAUUCCAUGAUUCGUAUAUAGACUUGGAUUCAGUGCGACUUAGUUAACUCUUUCAAGGUGUUCCAUGUUGAUGACCCUUUUCCUGGGUCUUCUUCUCCAAGUUGACAGGGAUUUGGUCCCAACCCUAUACUACCAUUACUUCUACCCUCACAAAACUAUCUAUCCACAGACGGAAUCUGCAUUAUUAUUAUCACCUCCGAAGGCACGGCUUCUGUAGCCAUUUAUUCUAUUCAUUCUGACACCCAAAGCUUGUGAGUAAGAAGAUAUGAGGUGAGAGAUCAUAUUUGGACCACCGUAGCUCUCGCUCUCUCUCUCUCUCUGUGCGUGUGGUAGAAGCUGGACCAUGAAAUUUAAUAUGUCUUGCAUGGGUCCUCUUCAUUGAAAUCUGCAACUCAAGCCUAACAUUUUUGUUUGGGAGGAGUUGGAUUUGAAUUCGUUGUUGUGCUGCCUGGGAGGGGAAUCGGUCAGCCUUCUGCUACCAACAAAACCUUGGGAGAGGACCGCCCACCGGUCGCCAUGCCAUGUAAGCACCUAAAUGGUGGGAUUUCUUCUUCCACACAUUCUAGACUCUCGAGGAUAAGGUUUCACGGUGAGGUUAUUUCUUUUCUGCUGCUUACAUAGAAAUUAGGUUCAUCGACCCUUCUUAGAUCUUAACGUGGAGAUGAAAAAUAAGUUUUUUUUUUAUAUAUUAGUAGGAAUAAAUAAGGUCACGUUCAUUGAUCCUUGUGUUCUUUUCAUUUAAAUGAAUUAUUUACUAGUGAAUCAAAAAAUCUUCCAUCAAGAACUACAAUCUUCCAUGACCACGAGCUUAGAUUUCUAUGUUGGGCUGUGUUUCUUCUUCAAGCUUACCACCACACUGAACUUAAGCAACUGAUCUCCUCUCUUUGGUAAAAGAGAGGGAUGGUGAGGUCUCUCAUGGCGGCAAAGACUGAUCCACUACCUCCUUAAAAGCGGAGCCUCUCAUGCAUGCCUUGUGAAGGCCAUGUGACUAAACAAAGACUUAUCACUCUAAUGAUAUGGCCGAAGAAGAUCUUCAAGAGCUAAAGAUGAGUUCAAUGGGGAUAAUUAUGGUAGCCAUUUCCAUAUCCCUUGCAUGGCUGACACCCUCCUGUCACUCAGCUUUUUCAGAUGGUGUACCAUUUGUGUUUUUUGACAACAACUCUCUGGUACGAAAGAGAGAUUGGAAUCUUAUGGAUGUACUAGUGUUACUGUAGUUUUGUGUUGUCAUCAUCUGGGAGAGGAGCAAAUUGGAUCUUUGAGGUGGUGGGUCCAUGAAGCUUUUGUUUAUUUAAUCUUUCUUGUGUCAGUCAUGGUGGAGAUGAGUUCAUUGUUGGCUUGUUAAUGGGAGGGAGAUGAGGUGCAUGUAAGGACACGCAUUGCCAUGCUGUGCUAGUUGGAGGCACUUUAAGAUGCUUGACAAGGGAGAACAAUCUCAAAUGAAAGAAUAAAAAUGGUGUGAUAUAAAGCCUGGACAGAAUUUUGCAUGAAUUAUCUGUAAAUAAGCAAAUGAUGAUCAAGUUUCUCAAUCAGUUAUCGAUCCAAAUAAAACUUGAUAGAUAUUUUAGAAUAAUAAAUAAAUGUUUUAAAAUGCAUAUCCAGUUCUCUCUCUCUCUCUCUNNNNNNNNNNNNNNNNNNNNUCUCUCUCUCUCUCUCUCUCUCUCUCUCUCUCUCUCUCUCUCCUACUUUUUAUGAUAUCUGAAACUAAUGAAAGAAAUUUGCCAACUUAGCAUCGACAACUUCUAAACUCAGCAUUACGACAACCAGCCAACCAUAUACCAUUCAUUUCAGGUGCCCACAAACCAUAACCAGACAUUAUUAUAAUACUCCAAACAUGGAAAUCAUUUAUGCCGUCUGAAUGGCUGAAUCGCAUUAGAAACUCAUCAAUCAAAAUCAGAUCUUCCAAAUGAACAAUAUUUGAUAAGAUAAACGAAACUCUAGAUAAAUAUUACGGGUAUUAUGGCAAGUAUACUUUUCCCCUACAGGAAAAACUACAAAUCAACGAUAAACAAAAUUUUGGUACCAAUGAGCUCCUGACAAGACGAACACUAGCAAGCAGCUAAAAAGGUUUGAGAGGACAGUGGAGAUAUCUAAUGGGGAGAGAGGAUUCUUUCAACAUCUUUAUUUGAAGCACUUAGCAUCAAGUAAGGCCUCUCCUUCAAAUGGUUCCUGGUCCUCGAUCAUGGCGUUCACCCUUUCCUUCUGUGCUUCAUCAGAAAUGUCAACCUUGGCCCAGUCGUACAGCUCCAUAUCGUAGACCUCAUCGAGCACAAACUUUGGAAUCUCCAGCCCACGGAAAAGCCACACCCCCUUCACCUUGAAGGGUGGGUCAGAACCGAUCACGAGCAUCUUCCCGAAUGCAUAUUUGCGGGCCAAGUCCAUGCGCUGCAGGAAGCCACUGACCUUGUUCAGGGUCACAAAUGAGACAGUGUUCUCAUCGUUGUACUUAUAGUCACAGAACCAAAGAGAGUAACCCUCAGGAUCAUACAUAUCCCAGAAACCUGAAGUCAAGGCCCACAAUAAAAGGAGUCAGGAAAACUACAUGGAAUAUAUGAAAAGCAUAUUCACUGCGUGACAAAAUGAGGUAGAACAUGGAAUAUUGUGCAUGCAAUUAUCAGAGAGAAGUGGUGUAUAUAACUCUAAAAAAGAUCCUUGACUAACAUUUAUCACAGAUGGUGAAGAAAAUUUUUGCAUAGUUGAAAAUCUCCUUCCUGCCUCUACUAGAGCUGAUACAUUAACUUAUCAAUAUUGAGCCAAUAAUUUGAUAUGCUAGUUGUGUCAGUAAAAAUGCACCUAUAGACUUGUAAAGAAACAAAUGCAUCACAUAGUUUAGCAGUUUGUGUUUUGAGAAAUGCAAGGAAGCAGGUUUUGCUGAUGCUGCCAACUGUAUCAUGAAUAAAAAUGAACUGUGAAUUACCAAUUAAGCAACAAAUUACAUCAUACAGAAUGAAAAGUGCAAUACUUCUACAUAUCAAGCUUCUUUUUUAUGGCAAAUUCGAUAAGCAUCCAUAUUGUUGAUCACUACUUAAAUAUCAUCAAGGAAACAAAUUUAUUUGAGGUCCAAGGUUGGAAAGGAUACCUUUGAUGGCAACUUCCCGGAAGUUGGUUUUUGUAUUUGAAUAGAGCCUCUUCCACUCAUCCAAUAUCAUCUUACUAGGAGGCAGUAGAUCUAGAGGAUUUUUUGGCUUGGGCUUGGGAGCCUCCUCUUCCUCUUCCACAACCUCCUGUACCUUAGGUUUCACAGGCUCCUGCUUUGGUUCCUUCUUAACUUCCUUUGGCUUGGCUGGCUCUUUUGCAGGCUUCUUUUGUGAUGGAACAGGUGGGACUGAGUCUGCCUGCUUGACCUCACCCAACACCUUACGGAAGUUUGGUUGAUUAACCAUAGUCCAAAAGUACCUUUCCACAUGAGGGAACUCUGAGGUAACACUCUUGAGCAAGAGCAGACUGAAUCCAUGAUACAAGUUACAUAUCAUGAUAAUAUCAGCUAAUGUAACAGAGUGUCCGACAAGGUAUGUGUUUGAGGCGAGAUGAGUAUUCAGAGCACCAAGUGCCCUCUUCAAACUAGAUGCUGCUACUUCCUCGGCCUAGAUAAAAACACUUUUCAGUCCAGAGUGCAAGACACAACUCUGAUAUGAUGCCAAUACACUUGUUAUACUUACGACAGCAUGGUAAGGCAUAUAUCCAAGUCGUGGAUAAAGCCAGCGGGCAAUAUUUGCAUCAACCUCCAUUGAUGCAAAGUCAAUCCAUUGCUCAAUGUGGGCCUGACAACAACAUGGAUUAACAAUUAGAUGAGCUGUCAUCAAAGGACAAAGAAAGUUAAAGACAGCAGAAAACAUACAUAUUCAAUGAGUGAACUGCCAUAGAGGGGGUUAUCAGCCUUCAAGCGAGUAACUGAGGAAGAAAGAAAAAAGAGAACAUUAGUCACCUUUGUGAAUGAUACUUUUGCAUCUUGGUCAGCAGGAAAUUUAAAUUUUUUUAUAUUUAAAAUGCUCCUCAAAUCUUACAUCAUGUGCAUCAGAAUUCUUUAGUUUUGGAGCUUUGGUCCACUCCAAUUAUUCCUGUGGUAUCUAUACUUUGUUGCAAACAGAUUCGCUAUUAAUCACUUCAUUCAAGCUUUGGUCCACUCAUUUCCACCAACUUUCUUGUGUGGGUAGGAUAAUGACUCUAUUAAUCAUAUAUUCUUUAAUUGGAAUGUUGCUGCAUAGGUGUGGGAAUACUGAGGGUAGCAACUCAAUGUACAGUAUCAGCACUUUACCAACUAGAAAGGACAUUGGUACAAGGAGAUGAUUCUAGUCAUAACAGUCUGAUCCUGGGUCCAUUUAUUACUAAUGUGUUUGGUUUUGGCGGCUUUGAAAGGUCAGAAAUGAGGCUUAAGUUCAAUGGUGCCAAGCCUAACCCAUAAGAUAUUCUUAAAAGCUGCCACUAUGCUUUUGGAUUGUCAGGAGCUUCUUAAGUAUGAGGGACUAAAAGAGAAUUAAGAAAUUGGUUGUUAGGCGGUGUAAACCUGAGUUUAAUUGGCUGUUGAUGGGCCCGAUAAUAUGUUACACUGUGGUGGAACAGGUUUUCUUCUCAGGGACAGUGAUGAUGCUAUUGUUUUUUCAGUAAAUGAGGCUUGAUGGCAGCUGAGGAGAUGGGAAUACGGAAUAUUCACAUUGAGGUGGAUGCAGAAUCACUGAUCAAAAUUUUGAAGCACAAGGUGGAAGCUCCAUGAACUGUCUCUAACUUUAUGCAUGAUACCAUUGUGUUAUCGAGAUUUUUUAAGGGUACUAAACUCUCUCAUGUCAUGUGUACUGAACUCUCUGAUCUACAUGUUUUGAUCUCCUCUGAUAGGAGAUGAGAUGGUUGUAUCCAGUCGAAGUGGUAAUUAAUACUUGUUUAUUAGAAAAAAAAAACGACUAACAAGUUAAACAAACCAUAUUAAUGUAAAUCUGACAAUCUAGCGAUCGUUCAUACCAUAACGAGCUAUAGCAUUGCUCUCAAAAACAGGACCAUCAGGUGUCUCCAAUACAGGUACCUGAUAUACUUCCAAAAAUUAGACCAAUAUAUAUAAACCCUUUGCAUAAGCUUAUACAUAGACAUGAAUGCAAAAUAGAUAUUUGCAUAAGGAAACAUUGCCUACCUUCCCUAUGGGGUUCAUCUUAAGAAACUCUGGAGUUUUAUUUGAGACACCCAUUUCAAAGUUUUCGGCCAAUUCAACUUGGACACCACUGUACUCUGCAGCAAUGAGCGCCUUAAACGCAUUUUUGUUUGUCUUCCAAGAAUGCAAAACCUGUGGAGGAAAAGAAAAUUAAACCAUGUAGCUGUAAACACAAAAAGAUACCACCACCAAACAAGAUGAACAUCUGCAGUCAGAUAAAUUCUUAACUUUGGAGGUUUAUGACAAAACAUUAAAUGCGUGGACUCUGUAGACAUGAGGUAUAACAAGACAGAUACUGCAUCAUAUGCUAACAAAUUAACACAAAACAACAAUAGAAAGCUCGUGGCAUACUAAGGCAUCUGAGAAAAUUAAAAAGACAUCAGAAACGAUGCCAAAAGAUCAAAAUAAUUUGAGAAGUUGCCCUAGGUUCCAGUAGAUCCUAGCACCAUAAGUCUUGGUUUGUAUCACGCCUUUGAUAACCUUAAUUGCUAUAGGCGCUGUAUAAGUUAGUGGCACAUACACAAAGGUGAAACCACAAAAUCUUAAAUUCUCUCAUGCAACGUUCACCAAUUAAUAAUGCUAAAAAAAGGCACAAAUAGGUUUCUUUAUCGUGAAUAUUCUGGAAACAUGUUGUUAUGUUGCCAAUUACAAGUAAAAGGCCACCAUCACCAACUAACAUCAAUUUCCUACCAUGAACAAUCAAAUAGGGAAGCAAUACUAAAUCAGUACCUAGCAGUUUGACCACCAAAAUACCAACUCACAGGCAUUCUUUUGUUAAACCUUUACAGUUGGACUCAUAAUACAAAUCACCAACUACUCGAAUUAAAUCUGCUUUUGUUAGACCAAACUUCUAAGAAGUCAGAUGACUAUUGGCCAAAACAAAUAGUUGUUUGUCACUAUCUAAUGCCAUUGAAGUCAAUAGAUUAUCCUUCACUACUAACGAAAGGUAUAAAUGCCAAAACAUCAGCAAGCCUUAGGAGCUAGAGGCAGGAGCAUGUGGAUCCUACAGGUCCUGCGAAUCACAUGGAAGAGCAAACAAAGUGCAGAGGAAAAUCUCUUUUUUUUUAAUUUCCAACCGGAUGUCCCUCGAACCUCAAUGGAUCACAGAUCAUUUGCAGCAAGAACACGUUAGAUGACAAUUGCACAAAGGACGGGAUCAAACCAAAAGAAUCUACCAUAACAAAACAAUAUGUUGUAGUAACACACAGAAACAAUCAUAAGCGAUCCAUUAAUUCCUACAUCUGUAAAACCCGAAGAAGACUUUUAUGUUCCAAUUUCCAGAUAACAUAUACGAAUAAAUCAGAAGGGAAAAAAAGCAAACUUUUCGUAUAAACCUGAAUACCGCAAGCGCAAAGACGCAGACAAAAUUAGCACACAGAACAAUAAUCUUAAGACAUCAAGGGAAAAUCCAACAUAGGCGACAGUCGCAACCGUUCCAAGAACUCACCAGCGCCAUCGACUCUCCGAUCCGCGACCGCCUCAAUAUCGGAUCUAAUCACGAAGUGAAACGAAAACAACAGAACAAGAAAAUUAAGUCACGGCCAGAAGCGAUCUUUGAAAAAAUCGAAAAAGAAAGAGGGAAAAAAACAAAUGGGGUUUAAAGGAGCGAAGAGUACGAGAAGAUUGAGUGAACAGCGGCGGCGCAGUAGACGAGAGCGACUGCGACGCGAAGAAUAGUAGCUGACUACAAUGAAAAGUUGCCGCAUUCCUCCGGCUUAUAUCGCGCGCCGCCGUCUCUAGGGUUACCUGAGAGAGGUAACGGAUCGGAUUCGGCUAAGCCAAAUUCGGAUUCCGCCGGCCGCCUCUUAUAGAAUAAUACGAACUUUUUUGUAUUUUCAUCCGUAUAAUUAAAAGGAUUUAAACGCGCAUGAAAUAAUUCAACCAUUUUUAGAAUAUUUUAAUCUCCAAAGACUCAAGCGGUCUAAUUAGUGAACCAAAGAGAUCCGGUUCUAAUUUUUCUAGUCCAAUCGGUUCACUUCGUACUUUGUAAUUAAUACAACCAAAAUAUUUUGAGUAGAAUAAUGGAUAUAAAGUAUUUAUAUACAGUCCAAUUAUGAUCAAUUAGGCACCUUUUUAAGUUUACAUAUAUUUAAUUUUUUAUUAAGUUCAUAUAUAUUUAGGGGUAAAGUAAUAAUCAGAAAUUAUUUAAAAAUAUAAAAUUUUAUUGACGAAGAAAUCAUGUCUACUCCAAUGUGAUAGUAAUAAUUUUUUUUAUAAAAAUAAAUGAUGAAAAUAAGAUUCCUUCGUAAUAAACUAUCAAGAUAUUUAUCAACGAAAUUAAUGUUUAGCUCCCGAGGUCAAUGAAAGAUAAUGUUUAGCUCCAGCAAUACAAUAUGCUGGGAAGAGAAGUCCCUGGGAUCAUCCAACUAAAAGGGAGCUCGACAUAAUGUUAUCACAUGUGAUAAGACAUAUUUUGGAUCUAAGACACGUCAUAGUCGAUGUCAUGUGUCAUGUCAGAAUCCGUACCAAGACGUUACUCAGCACAUCUUGUCCCGGGACAACGCCACCCCCAAGACACGACAAGUCAGAAUUCGUACCAAGGCACUGUUUGACACGUUCACCAUGCCAACCCGUGUACGAUCAACCCUCAAACAGUAGUAUAAAAACCUCUGGUCGACGUCUGGCCCAAGGGGAGAAAAACAAUUCCACCCACAACUGACUUGCUCAUCAGAGGGGCCAAAGUCGGGAAUCACCCGAUGAAGACCUUUUUUACAGGGAAGCAGUCACUCCCGAGCCACGAGCGCCUCGACCCAGAAAAUCGUCAUAUGGUGAACGAGGGCGAGCUAUCACCUAUCCUGGGAACAGAGAGACGCAGCUUGACGCGGACGACGCUCGAACCAAGAAACGCUGAUCAACACCCCGUCGCGAAGGUCCGACCUACCUCGGCGUCCAGCUCAGCCGACAGAGAACUCCCGACAUCAACCCGUGGACCAAGUCGUGCUGACUCACCAACUACAGUACAUUUGUUCACCAACAACCUGCAUAAUGACACCGUUAAGAAACCAUAAGUGAAAUCUAUGCCAAAAGAACUUCUAUGAAGUCUGAGCAGGAAAAAUUGCUCCAUGGAGAAACAAAUCUGUUGCCUGGUGAGCUCUAUGAACUUUAUACAGCUAUAAAUUUCUCAAACAAAUACACGAGUACAAUAAACACAUUCAUAUGUGUAGUGAUUUAGUAAAAUUCUCAAAUAUUAAUAUCAAUUCUAAACCAAAUAUGUCCAAUAUGAAGGCAUUCAACAACAAAACUUAAAAGAAGAUGAAACCAAACGAAAAAUAACCAGAAAUCCAAUCUUUCUGACAGUACUCAAGAUUGUUUCUCUCUCCAAGACUUUACUCUUGGUUGAACAGAAUCAGCAACAUUCGUGAGCAAACUUACCCAAAAUCAGAGAUAGUGAGCGAGAAAGCAAAACACACCUUCUUCCCUUCCUUCUGCAGCUCCGAAGCCCUGCCUUGAAUGGAUCAUUCAUCAGGGGAUGAUACUAUGGAACACAGUGACCAUUCCUUUUAUUACUUGUAUCCUUGUCAUGGAACAAACAGCGGAUAUCUGCGGGGAUUGGAGGCGAGGAAGAAUAAGACGAAGAAGGAGAGAGAGACUUUCCCAAGACCUGGUACCUUGCGAAUCUACAAAGCAGAAGACAACACCAACAUUAACAUGAGAGUUAGAAAAUGAUCCAUCACAUAGUAAUACAAAGGAAAAUGAAUCACUUUCCUGUUCCUGUAGGGAGGAGGAAUCCUUCAGCAAGCUGGAAUUGGUUAUCAUUAUUAUUGAUGAUUGUGGACAUGAGUUUAAACCAAAUGAAAAGGGGAUGAGAUUGAUGGCUGCUGAACUUGAUUUCAUUCAUGUUCUUCCAAAUAAACCAAAGGAAGAUAGUAAUGACCAGCCUACCUCAUUCUUCUCCUCCUUUAACCACCUCGCAUUAGAUCAUUCAUGCAUGAAAGCAAACUAGAAAUCCAUCCAGUUUGGAUUGAAGGAUAUUCUAAUAGAACUUAGCAAAGGUAUAAGAAAAUAAGAUAUGCCCAGCAGAAUCCACCCCACAUUAACAUACACAACAUUGAUCGACAAAAGCAAUGAAUCACAUUGGAAAGGCAUAGAGAGAUAGCCAGUCUACCUCAGAGUUUUUGAAGAAAUCCCUAUUUUGGAAGCACUCUCAUGGUCAAUGAAAGCAUUCCACUUGUUCAAGGGAAUGUUGGAAAGUUAAGGGUCUUCAAAUGAAGAGGAAUAAAAUUGAGAAAUGAGUUUAUCAAUCUAAUCUCAUCAGAUAAUGAUUUAUGCCAAUUAUUCAUCCUAUUAAGAGAUUCGUGGAUUAUUUGAGUUUGGAUACCGUUAGUGAACCUUAUAUCGUGGUCGCGGGGUCGGUACAGCUUAGUCCGAUUGGCGAUAUCCAAGAUUGUCUCGGGGAUAGGGUCUUCUCCUGAUCGGGUCGAGCUCGAAUUUGGUCAAGAUGCACAUCUUCAGCGAGCUCGUCCACCUUUGUCGUCGUCAGAUUCUUACACACUGGCCUAGGUCGAGAUUGGGAGGGGAAUCCCAACUUAAGCCUCUCCAAAGAUCAAGUUAAUGGAAUUCUAUUAUCCCAGGUACCCUUGUCAGAUGUUAGCAAGGGAUUUUUAUCAUAGUGCCCGAGGGUCGAUCGUACACGACCUUCGCGCGGCGAUCGACUCUCCAAGCGAUGAGUGUACUUUCAGACAUUCACCGUCCGGUAUAUGUGGAACAAUGUCAUGCGGUGUCAUUCCGAGCUUCAUUAUGCGGUUCUUGUUAGGGCGAUGCUAGUUGACGCAGCCCUACAUGGUGCGGGAGGAGGACAACCAUCAUCACGGAUUUCAGGUGGCACAUCUGAUGUGGUGUUGCGUCUGCCUCCUGAGGCUCCACACUUGGACUAACGUAACGGGGGUCAUGUCAACGUGACAUAAUCCAUAAUAUGCCCUAUCAAGAUACUGGAUAGGAUUGUGGAUUAGAAAAAAAACCCUAAUACGGAAUAGGUCGAGUAUUCUCUAUAUGCAAUACGUCAAAAACCAUCGAUAAGAUGCAGGGAAUUAAGGUUCCUGUAAUGAUGCUUAGGUGGGGGAUAAAGAUCGAACGUUCUGCACGUUGCACUCUACGCCGGACGGGGUGAUCGCCGCCCCAAGACACGGACCAACACUGUUCUCUUUCUUCCCUGCAGCUCUUCUUACCCUCUCUCUCCAUCUUUCCCUUCCUCUCUCUCUCUCACAUGCACGCACUUUGACCCUUCUGCUUUUGAGAGGCGCAUCUUCUCAGAGAUGCCUAUAAAGGGAAGUAACAUGGAUGGCUAGGUAUAAUAAAAGGAACAACGUAAUGAAAGAUGGUGGCAGGCGCCGGUCCGCAGCCCGUUUAGUAGGUGGGGUGGAAGGGAGGGAGACAGACAGCGAGGGACGAAAGGGCGUGGAACUGCAUGCCUGCGCCUGCUCCUCGCGCGGUUUUAGGACUCACGUCAGGCUCGCUGGAGCCUCCUCUGCGAGACGUCGAGUCAUUCUCUGUUGCAGAGGGAACCUGUGAGAUUGCGAGGAGACCGGAUGCGACGAGGCCAGGAGUUGCUACCAUUAAAAUGCUCUGAUCCGUGCAUGUCAUCCCGUUAGGGUCUUCCUAACUCUACUACUUCUUCUUCAUCCCUUCAAGAUUCUUCAUGUAGGUCUCAGAAAAACAGGAAAACUAGAGAGCAGUAGACCUAUAGAAUCCAAUCAAGAUGUAUACAUAUUAUAUAUUUUACUAUGUUUUGUUUCCUUAUCUUCUCGGAAAGAUCAACAAUUUACACGUUCUUCUUUCAUCAUUACCUCCGCAUCUUUUCUUUCUCUUUCUGUUCUUCAUGCAGCUAUCCAAAACGUAGCGACAUAAAUCGAUCCUGCCGUAUAACCUGAUGAUUCUCCAAGAUCGAAAGAAUUGUCUUUAGUGCAGGUGCUUCGCAGUGGACAAGCUUGAGAGGAUGUAUGCGUGGGCAUGAUUCCUGCAAAGUUAAGCUUGUUCUUCGUUGUGUUGCGUGAUACGAAGGAUUAUUUCGGCAAAGAACAAGGAGACGACAAAGGAGCAGCGGCCGCAGCGUGGUGCAAGCACACCUUCAAUUAAUGGAUUCACUGCCCGUUAGAUGAAUCCUCUGCCUCCACUUUCAAUCCGUUGACGUUGAUGGACAGCAUGAGUCUUGCAAAGUAAAGAGACUUCAGUGGUGGAUCAAGAUGUGGCGGAUUGGACGGUCGGAAUUGAUCCAUAAAAGUGUAUACCUCCGGCCACGAGACCGUUUGCUGGCUUCUAUCCUGUGAGCCAGGAUAUGGCGUCUAGGUGCUUCGUAGCCGUCUUCCUCCCGCGCACGCCAAUAAAAGGAAAACAAAGAGAACCGUGACUUCAAACAUCCCCACCAAUCAACGGACAGAAAUGAAACCGUGUGUCAGUCCACACCAUGGGGCCCCCUCGCUCUGGGAAUUAAAUGCAUGGAGUACAGGCCGGCCGCGGGUAAGUGGACGCCGACUGGGACGGCGGCAGCGCACCUGCGGACCCCACUGUCGACCGAGACCGACAGCUUAAUAAACAAAACGCCCCCGCGGUUCAGGUUGCGGGUGCAAAAACAAGGAGGAGGAGUCGCACGACUCUGGGACCCUCUUCUUGUGAAGCGUGGGAACGUCAGGUCAUACGACGCACACGAAUGCUGUCACCACGAAACAGCCGAUCCGUACCCACUGCCUCAACAACCUUUCGUCCUCGUAAACGUAACCCAUCGCCACGCGCUUCCCGCCCUCCCUUCCUCAGCUGGUUCCGACACGUGCCCUCUCCGACUGGGACCGCUUCGACCUGUCCAUGUACAUCGAAUUAUAAGUAUUGGACACAGCACGCGGGACCCAGAAGAAGCCUGCCGCACAAGGGACAAACGGCGGGAGAAUUAUUGCUACGCAUAGAGAUCUAUGACCGGUCCCACGUAAAGCUGCCGCCGCGCGUCUCCCCACGUCCCCAACCACUGCGCCGGCUAUCGCACGUGCGCGAAACUUCCGCGAGUGGAGCGCCUUGGGUCUUGCCGUCAGGAAAAGAGCCGUUAACCCACCGUUGAAGUUAAGUGGGUCCCGGCGGCCACCGACAGAGAGAGAGAGUCGUGGGGCCGAGAGGCAGACGCACACGUCUCCCGCCCUCGCUCGCGGAUCUCGAGGCGGGAGGCGAGCCGCCACGCUUGCCCCCACUCCCUUCCAACGUCAUUAAAGCCGUGACGACGCCCAAAAUAGUCGCUCGUGAUUCGCUGUACCCCACCCCAUCGACGGCGACGGAUCCAUCGCCUAUAUCAAAGCAAAAAAGCGGUGAUAAGGACGACGAGGAAGAGCGAGGCACAUACUAUUAAGAUGAAACUUGGUAAUAUUUUGAUGACAACAUUAGAUGGUCACAUGACAUGUUAUCCGAUAUGGGAGCCCGACGGUUACAAGUUUCCCAUUUAAAAAAGAAAAAGGCUAAAAUAUGUACAACAAUUUCUUGUUCUGCGGGGCUACAGCGAGAAAAAACCAACAAAAAGAGAAACGCGGAUUCAUCACGAUCCGCGACGAUCGGACGGUCUCCGGCAUGUGGCUCACGACGUCUCCGCAGGCGGAGGGAGGUUGAGGUCCAGAUCGAGAUGGAACGCCUUGGGCGGGAGAGGACGGGGAGGUGAAAGAUGGUCCGGGUGGAGAUCUACGACGGAGGAAGAGUCGGAGUCGCUGUGCGCGGCAACGGCGGGCGGCGGCUGGAGGCAAGCGACGAACAUCGGCGGGCAAAGCGCCAGGUGGCGAUUGUUCGCCACGCGCGACUUCGCGUCGACAAAGAAGAACGGGUGCGCCACCGGGACGGCGGGAGGGUAGGGCUGGAAGGGGAAGUAGCCGCCCCCGCCGCGGCAGAGGAGGCCGAGAUCGAGUGAAGGUGCGGGUACGGGCGGCGGCACUGCCGCCGCUGCCGCAUCGUAGCCGGAGGACUCCAAGGUGCUGCUCUGACUACUGGGGCUGCCGACGGCGACGGGACUGGGGCUGCUGCAGGCGUCCGCGUAGAGGAAGUUGGUCUUGGCCUUGGGCCCGCGGAACUCGCGGGCGGCGGCGUCGUAAGCCCUGGCCGCCUCCUCGGCGGUGUCGAAGGUCCCGAGCCAGACCCGGCUCUUCUUGCCGGGAUCGCGUAUCUCCGCCGCG